rnacentral:lncRNA from 1 species
CUCAAGGACCUCUAGAUACCAUUCAGCCGAUUCAAGAUCCUCCACUUCUUUUUGAAAACGUUACCAAAGACCUCCAAAUUUCAUUUUUUUAGGUAUUUUGUUAACUUCUCCAGAGAAAUAGGAAAAGAUUCUCUUUUUUGCCAAGAAUCUCUCACAAACUCAAGAAAAUCAGGAUAUGUGAGCCACAUAGCUUCAAAACAAAAAGAUCUUGGCUCCUGGUCCUCUCUGUUUGGAUUCAUCCAAACCAAAAGAGGGUGGUGGUUAGAGAACGCUCUUGGAAGAACCUCUAUUCUUGCAUUCCCAAAUUCCUUUCUCCAUGCUGCAUUUGCAAGACCCCUGUACCCGAUCUAGAUCACCUCUUUAUCCCCCACUUCAAGUAUAUCUCGCCCCUAUAAAACCUAGAUCUAACAAAUUAUAGCUGUUAAUCCAAUUUCUGAACCUUUUACAAGCAUGCUGAUCAAUACGGACCCCUUUUUUUCUCCUAUUCCUCCGUAGUCUCAUUGAAAUCUCCAAGCAGCAUCCAUGGAUGACAUUCAUGUCUAGCAAUGUGUCUUAGAUGAUGAUCACUACAAGAAAAACACUGAAAAUGAUCAGAGUUACCCUCGGAUUUAGCGACGUCAAUUACCGGCGGAUUUAGCGUCGGAUUUUGCAUCGGAUACAAAGUAGCUUAGAUUUCCUAAAAUGUUUACUAUCAUAUUUUAUAAUCUGACGCUAAAUUCGACGGUGAUUAGUAGUGCAAAAUAUUGAUCUGUGCGCACUAACCUUACUAUCGAUUUUACCGUCGGAUUUUGCCGACUGUAAACCGCUUCAGUGAAACGUUGUAUUUGACCAAUUUACCAUCGGAGUAUUCUGAAGGUAAAUCCGAUGGUUAGAUUGGUUGAAAAUUCAAACGCGAACCCUUCUUCACUCACUUGUCCAAGUUCACUCUCUCUCUCUUCUCUCUUCUCUCUCUCUCUCUCUCUCUCUCUCUCUCUCUCUCUCCCCCUCUCUCUCUCUCUCCUCUUGUGUUCUNNNNNNNNNNNNNNNNNNUGUUCUCUCGUCAACGGAGGUGUUGCCAGCAUUACCGUCACCUGCCAAAGCCUUUGGUGCCGCCGCCACUGGACAUUCUCACCGCUGGAGCUAUCAAUCGCCGCUGGGAAGGUUGGAAAUGUCGCCGCUGUUCUUGGUGGCCACUGACAUCGGUGUCAUCAUCAUUACUGAUACCACCAUGCGUCCAGCAUCCUGCAACCACCAUCAAAGGUAAUUUUGGCAUAGUUUUUAUUUUAUUAAGAUUUUUAUGUGAGUUUAGGAUUUUUGAUUAAAUAGUUUAUGAAAUUAUUGAUUAAAUUAGUGUAAUGAAGUUUGUGAUUAGGAGUUGGUAUAGUUUUUUUUACUGUUUUUUAGAAUUUUUUUACUUCAAGAUUUUGUUAGGUAUUUUACCAAAUUAUUAAUUAAAUUAGGGUUAACUACGACUUUGGUCCCUAAGGUAGGACCGAAAAUAUUUUUCGUCCCCGGUCUUCUUUUUGCUAUAAAAUGGUCCCGAAUGUUUAACUUAGUUUUAAAAUCGUACUUUUUACCAAAUUUUUAAUUUUUAUUUCGAAAAUACCCCUACCAAAAAAAUUUCGUCAGUCGCCAUCGAGCCCUGUCCUAUCGCCGCCGCUGGAGUGAGGCCACGUCGACACCAGCAGAUCCGCGAGGUUGGACGGUCGUCGAUGCUCCUUGCCGGAUGCCAGCAGAUUGGUAUUUUAAUGUUGUUGCUUAUAUUUUCCGUUUCUGUUUUUUGCUUCUUCUACUUCUGCUUCUCUUUUGCUUUUGUUGAUUCACCAUUGUUGUUGUUGUUUUAUUGUUAUUGCUAUUGUUGAUUCAUCAUUGUUGUUCACCAUUUUUGAUUCACCAUUGUUGUUGUUGUUGAUUCUACUUCCUGCUUCUGCUUUUGUUUCUCCUUUUGCCUUUGCAUCUACUUCUGCUUUCUAGUUGAUUUUGGGGAAGAAGGAGGAAGGGUAUUUUUGUCUGAAGGACCAUUUUAAAACUAAGUUAAACCUUUGGGACCAUUUUGUAGCAAAAAAAAAGCCAGGGACGAAAAAAAUUUUCAGCCCCUACCUUAAGGACCAAAAUCGUACUUAACCCAUUAAAUUAUGGUAACAGAGUUUGUGGUUAGGGUUUGGUUUGUGGUUUUUAGUUUUUUUUUUCAGAUUUUUUUGUGAGUCUAGGGUUUUGUUUAGAAAUUUUAUUAUCAAAUAAUUGAUUAAAAUAGGGUAAUAAAGUUUGUGAUUAUGAUUUCUUAUGUUAAUUUAACAUAAAUAGCAAUUAUUAAGUUAAUGUAGGUUAAGUGGGGUGAGAUUAAGAGUGUUUGACAUUGUUGGUGGAUGACUUUGUGUACUUUGUUGAACUAAUUAGUUUCACCUUGUGAGUUUAAUAAGUUUUUUUUAUUAGGAUGGUGGUAUUUGUCUGAGUAAUUGGAUUUUGUUUUUUUCGUAUUCUGUGCAUCCGUGUUUCAGGUAUGUUUUUUAUCUCUAACUAUAAUCAAUUGUUUAAGUUUUAUGUUUGACUUACUUUUCCUAAGAUAGCGUUUUAGGAAGGAAGUGGGAGAAGGUCGCAUAUAUGUGCUUUCUCGAAACCCUUGUUUGAUGGAAAAUUGUGGAUCUAUAAGGGGUUGCGCACUAAAACAGUUAGGAUUUGGUAUGUUAUUGAGUUUGUGUUUGUUCUAAUAUAUGCUUGCAACUGUUUUUACUGUGAAAAUUUGUAUAUUUUUUUUAUUGAUGUCUCUGAAUUAAGGAAAAAUUCUGCAAAAAAUUUGUGUUAUUUUUUUUAAAACUUGUUUGGUUUACAGAAGAUUAUAAUUAUAGGGUAUGCUCUACCAGAUUUUGUAAAGAAUUUAAUAAUUUUGUCUUGUUUGUCAAAUUUUAGGGUGUGUGAUUCAAUAUGAUUCCAAGUUAUCGUCUAUGGACGUAUGAUAGGGAUAACGGUAGACCAGGGUAGAUUAAAACCUGAAUUCUUUGAGGAAGUUGACACAUUGAUCGGGCAUGUGUUCAGCAUGGAACCAUUUAGGUCUGAAGGGGUAUCUAGGUUCUGUGUGAAAAGUGUCGACUGACUAAGUGGUUAGGAUCUGCGAAUAUAACACUUCACCUUUACUGUAACGGGUUCAAAGAUGGGUAUUGAAUGUGGACGGAGCAUGGAAAAGUAGACGAAUAGGGAAUUAACAGGCCUGCCUCGAAUUUGAAUAGGUCCGACUAUCGGUCAACGAGGGUUCGGGUGGAAAGAGAACUAAAUAUGAAAGACAUGACUUGGAAGGAUAACCAAGAGAGAUACAACGAGAUGGUGUUUGAUGCAACAGAUGUUACGAAAUUGGAAGAAGCUGAACAAGAACCUAACCCGGAGGCAAGGAUAUUUUAUCAUCUGUUAAAAUCUGCCACGAGACCGUUGUAUGAGGGUUGCGUUCAUUUGGAGUUGUCUGCAUGUGUUAAAAUAAUGACUAUUAAGUCAGACUCAAAUCAUAUGCAAGAGUCCUUUGAUAAGUGUACCACCCUUUGUAACGAACUAGUACCUGUCGGGACCUCUGGCAUCCCCUGAAACCACUAUGAAGCAAAGAAGCUAGUUUCAAAAUUGGGUCUAAAUUCAUUAAAUAUUGAUUGUUGUUUGAAUGGGUGUAUGUUGUAUUACAAGAGGAAUUCAGACCUAACUGAAUGCAUAUUUUAUAAAUCACCAAGGUUCCAAGUCGAGAGAGAAUAGAUUGGGAAAUGUCGAUUAAAGAGAGCUCUGAUGAAACAGAUGCACUAGUUGUCCUUGAUGCCUAGGCUGAAACGAUUGUAUGCAUCGAUGAGUUUGGCCCCUCACAUGACUUGGCAUAGUAACAACAAGAGGGAUGAUGGAAUCAUGACACACCUGUCACACGGAAAAGCCUGGAAGCAUUUUGAUCGGGUGCAUUCUAUAUUUGCAAGUGAGCCGAGAAAUGUUAGACUAGCUUUGUGCUCUGACGGAUUCGCACUGAAUUUCAAUUUCGGUAACGUGUACUCUUAUUGGUCUAUAGUCAUGACAUCGUAUAACAUGAGUCCCGAAAUAUGCAUGAAGGACCCAUACAUGUUCCUAAUUUGCAUUAUACCUGGUCCCAGAAAUCCAAAGGCCAAAAUAGAUGCAUGUCUUCUUGCAGCCCUUGGUGGAUGAGUUAAAGGAGUUGUGGAUUGAUAGUGUAGAAACAUAUGAUAUUUCGACGAAGACAAACUUCCAAUUGCGGGCUGCAUUGAUUUAGAUCAUUAACGAAUUUCCUACAUACGACAUAUUGUUAUGUUGGUCUGCUCAGGGUAGAAUGGCAUGCCCCAUUUGUAUGGAGGAUACAAAGACAUUUUGGUUGUCGACUGGCGGUAAUAAUUCAUGGUUUGAUUUCCAUAAAAAAUUCCUUGACUUUGAUCAUCCUUUUCGGCGCAACAGGGACUCGUUCAAAAAGAAUAUAACUGAACACGAAGAGGUACCCGUAAAUUUGAAUGGUAGACAAAUUUGGAAUUGCGUCAGCAGAAUCCCAACUAUCGUAAAAAACGAGACAGAUUUGAGACCUCCGAAAUAUGGCCGGGAGCAUAAUUGGACUAAACAUAGUAUAUCUUGGGAGUUGCCUUAUUUGAGAGAUAAUUUGGUUCGACAUUGUCUUAAUGUGAUGCAUAUUGAGAAAAACGUGUUUGAUAAUAUAAUGCACACCGUAAUGGACGAUGAGCGAUCAAAGGAUAAUGAUAAGACACGAUUACACUUGAUGGACAUUUGCAAGUGACCAGAUCUGGACUUAAGGAGACUUGAUAACGAGCGAUGGGCUAAACCAAAGGUAGUGUUCGCUCUAACAAAGGAGCAGAGGCAAAAUGUUUGUAGAUGGAUUAGAGGAUUGAGGUUUCCUGAUGCUUACGCUUCUAACUUGAGUAGGUGUGCAAACAUGUCACAGGGUAGGUUUGUUGGGUUGAAGAACCAUGAUUGUCACGUUUUCAUGGAGCCUUUGCUUCCAGUUGCAUUCAGAAAACUUUCAACCAACAUCUAAAAAUCACUCACAGAAAUAAGUGAGUUCUUUAGGGAUUUAUGUGCUGUCAAACUUAGUAUUAAUGAUCUCACAGUCAUGGAUAAGAAUAUUCUCAUCAUACUUUGUAAGUUAGAGAGGAUAUUCUCUCCAUCAUUUUUUAACAUUAUGGAACACUUAGCAGUCCAUCUACCAUUCGAAGCACUACUAAGUUGGCCGAUCCAAUUUGAGAGGAUGAUUAUAUUGGUUCAUUUAAGCGCACCGUGAAGAACAUGGCUCGGAUUGAGGGCAGCAUCUGUGAAGCAUUCCUAGCUUAGAAAACAUCCGGAUUUUGCUCAUUCUAUGUUCAGUCUCAUGUUGAGUCAUGUAUAACAAGGAUUGCAAGGAUCGAUGAGUGGAGAAAAUCAUCAUCGGGUGGAACAACAUACCUAAUCUUUGCUCUGGAAGGAGCUUCAAUGGGUGUGGGCAGUGACUACUGGUUAGAGAAGAAGGAAAUCGAUGCCGCACAUCUGCAUGUGUUGCUUAACUGUGACAAGAUUUCACUGUACCUCAUGUGAGUUUCUUAAGUCCUCAUAAAUAUUGCAAUCAGUAACAUUCUAACUUCGUAAUCUAAUCAAAAAAAUUUUAUCCUAUUCUAUCAUAUAUGUUAUUUCAGGAGGUAAAUUCUGAUACCUCAUCGAACAACUUUUCAUGUUGGUUUAGAGAAUACGUCAGCGUGCAUCUAUCUAACACAAUAGAUUAAAAAAUAGUUGCUCUUAGUUGGGACCCAAUGAAUAAGGACACUAGCUACCCGAUGUACAAUGUUAAUGGAUAUCGAUUUCAUACCUUACAGUGGUCGAUAGGAAAAAAAACAGAUAACACCGGAGUUUGGGUUCGUAGAGAUUUAGACGGUGGUCAUUUUGAUUGGUUUGGUGUGUUGCAUAACAUAAUUGAAUUAGAAUAUUUCUGUUGCACUACGUACAAGGUGUGUGUAUUUAAUGUGAAUGGUAUAAUCCUAGUUCGUGACAAGAAACACGAAAGCACAAUGACUACGAUAUCACUGAAGUUAAUUUAACUAGAAAAUAUAGGCACUACAAUCUUUUAUUCUACCUCAAAAUGCAAGACAGGUGUACUUUUUGCCUUAUCCGAGUUCAUGCAAGUCUAGUUGUGUGGUUGUAGUUAAGACUAAACCAAGAGACCGAAUCGAAUCCGAUGAUAGGAUAGAGGGUCAGAAACUUUACCAGAUUGAUGACCCAACUCCUUUGAAAAUGGUGGUUGAUACCGGUGAACCGAUUACCCUUAGCUUGGUUGUUAGGAUAAUGAUAUCAUUGACCUUGGAUUACAUGACGAUGCAUGACGAUCGGAUUUCCUGUCGGUAAAGAAAUUCACAAAUAUAUUAUUGCGUUGCAAGUAUAGCUUCUAAACCAACAGAAAAUCCUUCCGUACAAACGUUUUGUUUGUCACUUAAGUAAACCCAAUAAAAUUUAUAAACCGAAGUAUUUAAACCUCGGGUCGUCUUCUCAAGGAAUUGCAGGGAAGUAUGAUUUAUUAGUGGUUAUGGAAAACAGUAUUUUCUUGGGUUUUGAAAAGGUUUGAAUAAGGAAAAUAAAUUGCAGGAAUUAAUAAAUUAAUAUCUAAUAAAACUCUUGGCAAGGUGUGAAAAUCUGGAAGUCCUAUCCUAGUUAUCCUUAUCGAUGGUGAUGAGAAUUGAGUUUUAAUCCCACUUAGUUAACCUUUACUAAAGCAAAGGAAAGUCAAGUGGACUAAUUAGUUUGAUCCUCAAGUCCUAGCCAAUUCCUAAGAAAGAACUAGAGUUAUUGGAAUUCAAUUCAAUUAGAAAAAAUAACAAUUAUCAAUCACGAUGAGUUUGAUAACUCAAGAGUCUCCAAUUAAUCAAUUAAAGCCAAGAAUAUAAAAAGCUGAAUAAUAAUCAUAAAUCUGAAAUACCUCAAUUGCAUUAAUAAUAGAAAAUCAAUCUAAACAUAAAGAGUUCAUGAACUAAUUUGAUAAAAUAAAUAAAAGGAACAUUGAACCUGUAAUAAAGAUAAGCAGUCCUAAAAUUGAGAGAAAUCCUAAUCCUAAUCCUAAGAGAGAGGAGAGAACCUCUCUCUCUAAAAACUACAUCUAAAACCUAAAAUUGUGAAUUAUGGAAGACCUCCUUCAUAAAUGGAUGCAUUCCCCCACUUUAUAGCCUCUAAUAUGAGUUUUCUGGGCCGAAAACUGGGACAAAAACAUCCCAGAAAUCGCCCUGUUAUGUUCAGGUCACGACAAAGUGACGCGAAGGCGUCAUCCACGCGUUUGCAUGGAUUGCAUUUUUGCCAGGUCACGCGUCCGUGUGAUCCACGCGUUCGCGUCACUUGGCGUCAGGAAAGCUAUGACAAAUUAUAUAUCGUUGCGAAGCCAUGGACGUUAGCUUUCCAACGCAACUAAAACAAUCUCAUUUGAAAUUCUGUAGCUCAAGUUAUGACCGUUUGAGUGCGAAGAGGUCAGGCUGGACAACUUAGCAAUUUCUUCAACUUCUUGUAUUCCUUCCACUUUUGCAUACUUUCUUUCCAUCCUCUGAGCCAUUUCUGCCCUGUAUAUCUGAAAUCACUUAACACACAUAUCACGGCAUCGAAUGAUAAUAAGAGAGGAUUAAAGUUAGUAAUUUAAAGGCCAAAGAAGCAUGUUUUCAAUCAUAGCACAAAAUCAGGAAGGAAAACGUAAAACAUGCGAAUAGUAUGAAUAAGUGGGUAAAAAGUUGAUAAAAACCACUCAAUUGAGCACAAAAUAAACCAUAAAAUAGUGGUUUAUCAACCUCCCCACACUUAAACAUUAGCAUGUCCUCAUGCUAAGUUUAAGAGAACUAAAAGAGUGAAGGGAAUGGUAGAAUGUAUGAAAUGCAACCUAUGAAUGCAACUAAAUGCAGAAUGCUUUUUCUACUUGGUGAAGAGUAAAUAAAUCCUUCAAGAAGAAAUAUGAACUGGAUCUCACUAAUUCAAAUCACAAAAUAAAAUACAAGUGAGCUUGCAAGAAGAAAAUAGCUCAUGAAAGCCGGGAACAAAGAAUCGAGCAUCGAACUCUCACUGGAAGUGUAUGCACUCUAAUCACUCAUGUGUUUAAGGUUCGAUUCUCUCAAUUCUCUACUAACCUUGCUUUCUAAGGCUUGCUCUUCAUCUAACAAUCAACAAAAAUUUAAUGCACAGAUACACAUAGCAAGAGGUCUUUUAAGGGUUGUAAUGGGGUUAGGGUCAAGGUAGGAUUGUAUUUGGCCAAGUGGACUAAAAUCUGAAUCCUUAAUUAACUUAAACUUUCCACUUAACUUUAGACAAUCCAUGUAAUCAUAAUACCACAUCUAACUAUGCAUUAACCAUAUUUUCCACAUAUUCAUGCAUUCUAAUUUCAAGUACAGUACAUAUGCAUUGCUUUCACCACUUACUUUGGGGCAUUUUGUCCCCUUUUGCUUAAUUGCUCUUUUUCUUUUCUUUUUCUCUUUUUUUUUCUUCUUUUUUUUAUAUUUUAUAAUAUUUUUUUUCUUUUCUUUUAUUUUUCUCAAUGCAUAUGAUUAAAUUAUUGGAUGCAUGAAUCAUGUCCUAAACAUUUCUUUCACUAACAUACUCAAUUCUCAAACCAAAUGUUUUCAAACCCACUUUCCCACAUUUAAUUCAUGAGCAUUCUCACUAGUCUAAGCUAACCAAGGAUUCAAAUUAAGGACAUUAUUAUUUUUCGCUUAGAGUUAAUGAUGUGCUAAAGUAAAGAACAAAAGGGUAUAAUAGGCUCAAAAUUGGUUUGCAAGAGAUAAUGAAGGGUUAAGGCCAUAUGGGUAUGUAAGCUCAGUGAAACAAAGGCCUCAAUCAUAUAAGUGCAUGCAUGCAUCAAACAAUGGAAAUAUAGAAUUAAGCAAGACAAAUAUCACAAUUUUAGAGAGAACAACACACACAAAAAUAAAAUAUUGGUUGAUAAAAUGCAACCAAUCAAAUAAGUUCAAAAUCUCACUGGUUUUGUGUGUUCGAGCUCUAAACCAUGUUCCAGUAUAAUAUUUAUUCAAACAAGUUUAACAAAAAGUUUUAAUUUAAAUUAGUGAAAUACUCUAAAAAGUUUCUUGAAAAAGAAAAUAUUACUUCAACCAAGUAGUAAAAUAUGCACAAAACCAAAAAAAUAUGCAAUCAAACAUGUAAAUGCAACAAUGAACUAACAAAUAAAGUAAAAUAUUGGUGUUGAGAAGAAAAUAACUAACCCAUGGAGAUCGAUAUCGACCUCCCCACACUUAAAGAUUGCACCAUCCUCGGUGCAUACUAAGAUGUGCAAGUGGACGGGUUUUUCCAACUAAUGCUUUUCUUCCAGAGAAUGUGCAGAUGGACUUGUCUGUCUCCCCAUGUAAACGUCUUCUGGUUCCCUUCCGGGUGGCCAUCCUGAAAGAAAAAGGGAAGAAAAGUAACCCAGAAAUAAAGAUAAGAAAAUAAAUGAAGUAUGGGUGGGUUAAUGCCAAUUGAUAAGGGUCUCAUUUACAUGGAAGCUUCAACAUGUACGUGAGAAAAUAAUAGAAGCACAUGGCAUACCAAUGGUGCAAAAUUUGCAACAAUGGGGAAGAGAGUGGGGAAGGAGAGAUAAUAUAAAUUCAUGUCAAUGCAAAAGUAAUACAGAUAUAAAAGAUUGGCAUUGAUUUAAAUAAUAUUACCCAAUCAGAAUAAAACAAGUCACUAAGCAUCCAAAAUAAUUCAAGAGAAGAUGCAACAGUUAAAUAAGAAAAUUCAACACCAACAGAAAAGUAAUAAAUUUAGAAAAGAAAGUAAAAAUAUGCACAAAAUUAAAAUGUAAUGAAUGAAAGUAUGUAAAUAAAUUAAGUAAAAUAGAAUGAAGGUGAAAAAGAAUGAGAAGUGAAAGAAAUAAAGUAAGAAAAAAAGAAGAAAGAAGGAAAGAUAGAAGAAAUUAGGAUUAGAAAAGAAAAGAUAAGAUAAUUGGUGCUGAUUUGGAUAAGUUGUGCGGCGCAGGCGACGCGGACGCGUGAGUGAUGCGGUCGCGUGGUGUGUGAUAAGGUCAAGUGACGCGGACGCGUGGGUCACGCAAUCGCGUGGCCGCAUUUGUGCGAUUGGCGCGAGUGCAGCCUCGCGUUCGCGCAACUCUCUGUUCGAAACUCUUUUCACCAAAUUUUUGGGUGACGCAGUUGCGUGGCUGACGCAAUCACGUGGAUGGCCAUUUUUGGAAAACGACGCGGCCGCGUGGGAAACGCGUUCGCGUGGGAGGGAUUGGGCUUCCAGCACGAGUCCAGCCCCAUUCCAGCCCAACAUACUGCCAUACACCCCUUUACGUCGAUUUUACAGAGCCACGCAUUCGCGUGGGUGACGCGGACGCGUGGGGAAGCUAUUUUUCAAAUGACGCGGCCGCGUCGGCGACGCGGUUGCGUGGGCAUAUUUGUGCCUAAGGCACGCCUCCAGCUACACUCUCGCGUGACUCUCUGUUCACUUUUCUUUUAUUCCUAAUGCACUUGUAACGCGAACGCGUCAGCGGCGCUUACGCGUCGCGUGCAUUUUUUUUAUGCAAAUGCAAAAAUGCAGGUGAAUAUGCAAAAAUUAUAAAUGAACACUAGUAAAAAUGAAAUAAAAUAAGAUUAAGAAUAAAAAGGAACGAAUAUACCAUGGUGGGUUGUCUCCCACCUAGCACUUUUAGUUAAAGUCCUUAAGUUGGACAUGUGCUGAGUUCCUUGUCAUGGCGGCUUGUGCUUGAACUCGUCUUGAAACUUCCUCCAAUGCUUGGACUUCCAAUAAGCUCUAUCAAUACUAAGUAAAUUCCUCAAGCUUUGAUGGGGUUCUUCACAAGCUUUGAGCUCCCAAAGUUGAUCCUCAUAUAUUCCUGGAUCCCAAAUCUUGUUUCUACACCCGUCUUCAAGUUGAUUAUCAUGAUUCCAUCUGGGUGGUUCAGCUUUAGAAUUCUCACUGAAGCGUCCAAACAACUUCCUAGACCUAUUCAAUUGAGCUCUACACCAACCUUUGCGUUUAAACUUAAAGCUUCCAACUAUAAUGAACCUUGCAGGACAAUUCUUACCACUGACCAUCUUCCUCUUACUCUUAAUGUCACAAAGAGCUCUAAGCUGACCAUCCAUCUCUAGUAGCCCAUAUUCAAGUGGGAAAGUAAAGGUCACAGAUAAGAUUUUGACCCACUUGAACGUUGUGUUGGAUGGUAAUGGCCUUGGGAGAGGUAUUUCGAACGAAUUCGCAAGCUCUACUCCCUUGUGCUCUUCUCUGACAACUUCUACCUCCUUGUAAGCUUCUUCAAUUUCAACCUCUUCCUCUUGGUAGCUUUCUUCCAAUUCAAUCUCCUCUUCACUGCUUUCCAAGGGCAUGGAAGGUUGUGCUUCUUCUUCUUGAAUCUCCAUCUCUUGAUCGACCUCUUCCAAGUCCUUAACCAUGACAUGCCUUGGAGGUUGUAUACCCUCCUCAACAUCAAAUGCAACCGUCUUGGAAGGAGGCUCUAUGUCUUGACUUUCCCAUGGAGGUUCAACAUCUCCCAAGUCUUCAACCACUUCUUCCUCUUCGAUAAUUACUGCUUUGUCCAGUAGUUUUAAUAUAAAAUCGUAUUCAUCCUUGAUGAUUUUCUUUCCAUGACAACUCCUUUCAACUAUUCUUUCAUCUUCAAGGGUCUCUCCUAUCUCCACAUUUUGGGCCUCCUCUUGCUCUAAGACAAAAUCAGACUCCUCCUUGAUGUCUUCCUUCACUAAUUCUUCAACCACUACUUCGACUUCAAGGGUCUUUACUACCUUCACCUUUAGGGCCUCCUCUAGCUCCUUAUGAAGUAUGGAUUCGCGAAGAUGAUCCCUUCUCUCUUGUUCCAUGUCAAUAGCAUCAUUGGGACCAUGUUGCUCUUGGAUUGAUGGAUGUGGGUGCUCUUCCAUGGAUGGUGGUGAUGGGAUGGAGAGAUCAUUCUGUGGUUAAAAAGGAAGUGCACUAGAGCUUGAGGGGUUAUUAUUGAAGGUAUUUGGUGGUCCGAUUUAGGAGACGAGAGCUUGUAUAGUAGAGUUUAGAUCGGUAAGUGCUUUCUCCAUGGAGGUUUGGGGUGGAUAGGAGGGUUCAUUUGUUGGGAGAAAGGGUUCAUGGUAGGAAGGUGGUUCAUCUUGAUAAUGAUAAGGAGAUAGUGUAUAUUGAGGUGGUGGUUCAUGAGAGUAGUUGUGUUGGAAUAGGGGUGGUUCUGUGUAUGGUUUAUUUGGCUCAUAAGGUGGUUGGUAUGGUGGAUACGGGUUAGGGUCAUAUGGAGGUGAAUUAUGGAAAGGGGCUUGUGAGUAUGGUGGUCUAAAGUCAUGUUGAGGAAAUGGUUCAUAGGCAUAUGGUGGUGGUUGUUAAUAAUCAAAAGAGCGCUCACCAUAGCCAUUGCCUUGAUAUGCAUCACAGAACGGUUGUUGAUAGUCCAUUGGAGGUGGUUGUUGCCAUGAGGGUUGAUCAAAUCCUUGUGGCUCCUCCCAUCUUUGAUUGUUCCAACCUUGAUGUCUGUUCUCAUUGUAAUUUCCUCUUCCUGCAACAUAAUUAUAACCAGACUCAUAGCAAAAGGGGUGAGAGUUCAUAGUAGUAGGAGAAAAUAGAAACAAAAACUAACAAAAAGAAAAUAUUUUGAAAAAGAUUUGAAUUUUUAAAAUUUAAAACUAAGAUAAGAUAAGAUAAAAAUUUUAAAAUAAAAAUCUGAAAAAAAAAAUUUUUCGAAAAAAAAUCAAUUUAAAAGCAAAUAUUUACAAUAACCUAUAAUAAGGCACACGUUUGCAAUUCCCCAGCAACGGCGCCAUUUUGAUGAUCGGAUUUCCUGUCGGUAAAGAAAUUCACAAAUAUAUUAUUGCGUUGCAAGUAUAGUUUCUAAAGCAACAGAAAAUCCUUUCGUACAAACGUUUUGUUUGUCACUUAAGCAAACCCAAUAAAAUUUAUAAACCGAAGUAUUUAAACCUCGGGUCGUCUUCUCAAGGAAUUGCAGGGAAGUAUAAUUUAUUAGUGGUUAUGGAAAACAGUAUUUUCUUGGGUUUUGAAAAGGUUUGAACAAGGAAAAUAAAUCGCAGGAAUUAAUAAAUUAAUAUCUAAUAAAACUCUUGGUAAGGUGUGAAAAUCUAGAAGUCCUAUCCUAGUUAUCCUUAUCGAUGGUGAUGAGAAUUGAGUUUUAACCCCACUUAGUUAACAUUUACUAAAGCAAAGGAAAGUCAAGUGGACUAAUUGGUUUGAUCCUCAAGUCUUAGCCAAUUCCUAAGAAAGGACUAGAGUUAUUGGAAUUCAAUUCAAUUGGCAAAAAUAACAAUUAUCAAUCACGAUGAGUUUGAUAACUCAAGAGUCUCCAAUUAAUCAAUUAAAGCCAAGAAUAUAAAAAGCUGAAUAAGAAUCAUAAAUGUGAAAUACCUCAAUUGCAUUAAUAAUAGAAAAUAAAUCUAAACAUAAAGAGUUCAUGAACUAAUUUGAUAAAAUAAAUAAAAGGAACAUUGAACCUGUAAUGAAGAUAAGCAGUCCUAAAAUUGAGAGAAAUCCUAAUCCUAAUCCUAAGAGAGAGGAGAGAACCUCUCUCUCUCUAAAAACUACAUCUAAAACCUAAAUUUGUGAAUUAUGGAAGACAUCCUUCAUGAAUGGAUGCAUUUCCCCACUUUAUAGCCUCUAAUCUGAGUUUUCUGGGCCGAAAACUGGGUCAAAAACAGCCCAGAAAUCGCCCCCAGUGAUUUCUGUUACGUUCAGGUCAUGGCAAAGUGACGCGGAGGCGUCGUCCACGCAUUUGCGUCGCCUGGGGUCAAGGCAGCUAUGUCAAAUUAUAUAUCGUUGCGAAGCCCCAGACGUUAGAUUUCCAACACAACUGAAACCAUCUCAUUUGGACCUUUGUAGCUCAAGUUAUGACCGUUUGAGUGCGAAGAGGUCAGGCUGGACAACUUAGCAAUUUCUUCAACUUCUUCUAUUCCUUCCACUUUUGCAUGCUUUCUUUCCAUCCUCUGAGCCAUUCCUGCCCUGUAAUCUCUGAAAUCACUUAACACACAUAUCACGGCAUCGAAUGAUAAUAAGAGAGGAUUAAAGUUAGUAAUUUAAAGGCCAAAGAAGUAUGUUUUCAAUCAUAGCACAAAAUCAGGAAGGAAAACGUAAAACAUGCGAAUAAUAUGAAUAAGUGGGUAAAGAGUUGAUAAAAACCACUCAAUUGAGCACAAGAUAAACCAUGAAAUAGUGGUUUAUCAAUGCACUACCCUAAUAGGACGGCGAUCUUCAAGAAGAAGACAAAAUCGACGUGGACAAAAAAGAGGAAGACGAGUUCGAUGAUCAAAAAAGUUAAUCCGUCGGAUUAUACAGUAACUUUCAACAAAUUGUGUUAUAUAUUCCGUUGCUAAAUUAGACAAUAAAUAUUUUCUGACAAAAUUUAUACCGUCGCAUUUACUCAGCCGCUAAAUCUAACGAUAUUUAAUAUGAGAGAGGUGCAACUACCCCAUGUAGUUACUGUUUCUGUUCCUUGAGUUUGGACUUUAGCUCCGUCCAAGUACCAAAAACAAAAUGCAUUUGAUUCGAAUCCUAUAACAUUCCUUAAAAAGAAGGUUAUGCUCACAGUGGAAUUCCUACGUGGCGUUUCUCAUAUUGCUCUGGCUUUGUCCGCCACAUACCAAUGAUAUUUUGAAAUAUUUUGAAUUUUGAAUUCAAAAUAAAUUUGGAAAAAAAAUCAUUCCCAUUAUUUACGUUCUCUCUCCAUUAGCUGUCUCUUUACCCUUAUUACGUUACCAUUCCUAUACGAAACUAUUCUCAUUACACUUCAUAAACAUGACAUUUUUCAAUUCAUUCAUACACCUUCCUUUUUGUCUGUAUUCAUUUGUUUUUUUUCUCUUGCUUUUAUAUUCCACCAGAUCUACAAAUUUGUGUGUUUCAGAAUUCAAAUUUUGAAUUGAAAAAUACCAUGAAUUAUUUCCUCUCAGUCUCAGUCUCUUCCCAAUUGUUUCCUCUCUUGAAGCUCCGCUGGCCAACGGCGAUCCCUCCGCCCGGUUGAUGAAGCGGCCGUGCAUCGUGUGGAUGCCUCGGCUGCACGACGACUUCAUUGCCGUGAUGGACGCGACUGUGGCGGUGGUAGGGUUUUGCUGGUUGACGAGGCAGCGACGAUUAUAUUUUUCUUCUGCAUCUCAGCAUCUUAAUGCGUCGGUGGAUUCACACACCUCCCUCACUUCUUUUUUAUCCCGGUCAAAUUCUUCAAUUAAGCAUCUCUCUUUCUUUGUUAUGUGUCCGAGUAUCUUCCACCUCCUUCUUCCGAAGAAAGUUUGAAUUUGAAUUUUGAAUUGAAAGAUAAUUUCAUUUUUCUAUAUUAAGAGAAUUUUAUUUUGUCCUUUUCAUUUGUUUUCUUGGUUGGCGAUACUGGAAUCCAGGUUGUGAAGAAUUUCACUCAUGGAAUCCAUGGGAACGGUGCUUUUGUGCAUUUCGGACAAGGAUUCCAAAGGAAUAGGUUACUUCUUCUGCUUUGAGUUUGCACACCAAGAAAAUGCUCCCGAUGAAGGCAGAGACAAACAUGCUUCUCAUGAGUAGAGCGUCCAACUACAACACUUCUUAAUUUGCCAUGACCUUUGACGAGGAUUCCAUGGAUCGCAGCAAGGUCUUCGUCAACGCCUUGCAGGUUCUCUCUAAUUCUCCUUUUAACUGUUUCAUUCUCAGCUCAGAUUUGCAUUUAUUUUUCACUGUCUUGAUCUUUUGACUUUUGGUUACUCUCUGGUUUGAUAGCGAAGAUGAAUUCUAUUUGGCAGAUAAAAUACGGUGAUAAUGGCGUCAUUUCUUAAGCUGUGCGCUUGCAUUGCUAAUUACAGUUGUUGACUUAAAUUUGAAACCUCAAUUAUAUAUGUUUUUGAAGAGUUUUGUUAUUGUAAAUUGCCUUUGCGUAUGUGAAAAAUAUGACGGGUGGAAGAAGUUGCAUUAAAAUCUGGGAUGGAAGUAAGAAACAAUGGUGUUGAGUUCGAAAGGGGAAUCUUAUCAUGUUACUGGAAAUUUGAGAUAUCUUAUACAUUAGAUGAUUAUAAUUGAGGUUAAUUUUGACUUAUAGUUGAUCCAAAUUAUACUAAUUUGUGGCAUUAAGUAGGUUGAAACUCCGAAUGAUAUAAUUUUUUUUUGUCGAUUUUUACAGUAUUAUGUUACCUAUAUAUGACUCAUUCUCUUUUUAUUCUUUCUGGUUUGUUGAGUUUGAGAUUCAGUUCCUUAUCUACCUGCUGAAAUUUUGGCAUUUGCAGUGGCAAGCUAUAUACAGAAAGGGGAAGCAUUUGUCAAUUAUUAGUUUAUUACCUGGUAACUUAAUUAUUACAUUAGAUGCCAUUAAUUGUUGAACUUUUCUUAGAAAUUAGAACCCAUUAAACGUUGCUUCUACAACAGCCAAUAUUCAUUGUUCUUAACUUAAUCAUUGAGAGACUGUUGAUUUUCUUUACUGCCCCUAUCUUUUUUAGGAAAUUAACUACUGAGAUAUCAGGACUCCAACGGAGAGAAAGAUCUUGAAACUGAAUUUAAAAAAGGUAUUUUGUUGUCUAUGUGAAUUCUUAAUGCUUUAGUAUUUCUCUCAAUUAUUGCAGAAGACUGAUUUGGGAUAUUUCACUUUUCAUUCAUUUGAACUACAAAGCAUUCUGAGAUUGUUUCACCUUGCACCCUCCAAGAGAGAAAUUCAGAUUCUCAAAGAUGUUAGUGGAAUAAUAGAACUAUCAAGGUAAUAAAUUAAUUCUCAUUUAUUUCAGUUAUAUUUGACGAGUAUAAUGAGGGCAAUUUAUCCUUAGUUUCUGAACAGUAAUUUUAUUUUUGAAAAACUGAUAUUUGAAUCCCUGCACAUUUUUUUCUGGGAAAACUACAUUAUUUUCUAACACUUGCAGGGAAACUUGACUGUGACUUAAGAUUUGUUCCUAUUUCAUUAUGAUUUCUUUUGAUUUUUUCUCCUAUAUAAUUAGUUACUACCUCCAAUGUAUCUAAAUAUUAUUUUUUCCGAAUUGUUAACAAAAGGGCAUUUGCAGAGUAAUUUUCUCUAAGCUUUCUCUUUGUCAGUGCAAAUUUAUUGUUUUUUUUUGUUUUUUACUGUUUAUAUUUUUUAUAUUUUGGUUUUUUUUUAAUUCCUUUUUUUCCUUCAGUUUGUUUCUCAUGCCAACAUUUAUUUUCCUCUUCUUUGUCAAGUACAAAGUGCAUAAAAUUUCAAAUUUAAAUUUUGAAUUGAAAAAAAGCAAUCAUUUCUCUUUGCUUCAAAACAAAUUUAUUUAAUUUUUUCUGUUGUCUGUGAAAUUAUAAGUGCUAUUUGAUUGUUGAUACUAUGUUUUGUAAUUUAGUUAAAUCCUACUGUAAUGUCAGAGAUUUAGGUUAAAUCAUGAAGUGUAAACAUUUCUAAAAGUAAAAAAUUCAGUAGAAUUUGGAUUCUGCUUACUAUACUCUUAAAAAUACUAAGAAAAAGAAAUAUAUGCAAAGCAGCAAGUAUGUAUGUGUGAGUGAGUGAGGUUUACAAAUCACAAAAGACAAUUUGUAAUGGUGCUGGGAUUAUGAGAAUAAAAAUUGCAUGGUCGGCAAUGGUAUCUUUUGUAGCCUAAGGGGAAAAAAAAAGGGACCCCACGCUUUUGUGUUAGGAAUAAACAAACAAUAAAGACAAUCUGCAAACUAGAAUUUCUUUUAUAUAUCAGGUCCAUGUGAAUGGAUUGAGUGUCAUAACAUUUUCCCUUUUCUGAAGUUCAUAGAUAGAACUUGAGAAUCAGAUUUAGUUUUCUUUUUUUUUUAUAUUUUUUUCUCAUCAAAAUGAUCUAUGUUGUAACUUAGUAACCAGAUUUAGUUUGUAUAUAAAGGAUUUGUAACUUAGUAACCAGCAAAUUGUUUACUAUUUGAUAUAAUACAUGAAAGUAUAUUCAAUUUUGUGUUUAUGUAUUAUUCUGAAAUAAGUUUGAGUACUAGAAAAAUUAUUUUCUAAGGUGUUUAGUCUGAUUAAAUUUCUUAAUAAGUGUCGUUGAGUUAGAUACUUCUUAAUUAAGUAUGAACUUUUAUUGACAGGUUGUGAUUGCACUGAUGAUACAGUUUGUGUGUAAGACUGCAACCCUGGCCGCUUGAUUCUAAAGUCACUUCUUUAAAAGCUCAUAUGUCAUUUAUAUGGUAUCCUAAUGAUGAGGAUGUUGCUAGUAGCACUGUUGCUGGAGGCGGUGCUCCUAUUACGGUCAUGGCGGUAAAGGAAUUAGAAGGAGAGGAUGGCGAGGCAAUGAUAAAGUCAGUUCCGCGUGAACAUAAAGAAAAGGUUUUGAAUUUAUUCGUUUGUUUUAUUUUGUUUCCGAGUUGUUGAUUAUGUUCUUCUUUCUUUACUUAAUAUUACGUGCGUCUUAUUUUGAAAUAAUAUUGUUACAAUAGAAUAUAAAAUAGGGAGGAAACUGUUAAUAGAAUACAACUUGAGCAGUCAAUGGUUUUGUAACUUGUUUUGCAGAUUUACACUUUUUGACUGCUGUGAAUUCUUUCAAUUUUCGUGAUGUUCAUUUGGGUUUAGCAUCUAAAAUUUUCUACCGGUUUGUGCUAUUAUUAGGGGAAUCCUUCGGCAGAUAUUUUAUUCGACCGUAUUUUUUUUUAGGAUUAAUCUGAGUAUUCUUAUCAUUACAGGAGAUCAUCAAUCCUUUAUUUGAGAAAGGAGAUACUCUCAAGAACUGUUUCAUCUUUGAUGCUUUUUAUGGGCAGGGAAUUAUAGGGAACAUUUUCAACAUUUGGUAACUUACUUAUGACUGAAGCACCACACUCCCUAAGUUUGGAAGAUUAACACUGUUCGGAUGAAAUUGACUCCUUUAAUUACACAAUGUUCUGGUUAUUGUUGAUUAUUAAUUUAUAUUUGAGUUUUCUGAUUAAUCUAGGCUAAUUUUCAAUUUACUGUUUUUCUUGCUGUAAUAGACACGAAUAAAACGAUUACAUGUUGUAGACAUUGCGCUUAUUAAAAACAUGUUUGUUUUCUUUGAAAUACAGUAGUUGGUACACGUGAUUUAUAUGGUAUUAUAUAAAUCACAAACUCAAAUUUCAUUCUAACUUUCUUUCUCAUGUCGUACUCAUGCCAAUCUUUUAUAAUAUUUUGGUACGGUCCGACUUUUUUUAAUGAAAACGGUCAUACACAAAUCCGUUUGUGAAAUUACUUUUCACAGUUUGCAUUUGUUUUUGUAAGUGCUCUGAAUUCAGUAUCAUGGUUUCACACCAUUUUUGUCAAUGAACAAAAAAAAAACAGGAACUGAUAAUAAAAGUUAAUCUUAGGAAGAACUGAUCAUAUUUGCUUUGACUGACAUAGGAUGAUCGCAGACAAAAAAUUUAAAAGUAUUGCAUUAUGAAUAGAAUAUUUUUCAUCUUUCUUCACAUAUGAUUCAAUUUGGCUUGUACCAUAUUAAGUUUAUAUCAUAUUAAGUAUCUUGAUAAUGAUGUUGAGUAUUGCUCAUUGAUUUUGGUAGAAAAAAUUGAUUAAAUUUUAUCUCAUGUUCUUAUGUCCAAGUAGUCAUAUUGUCCAUCAGAAUUGCUUAGUAUUAGAGAAUGUAAACCAUUCUCAUCUUAUAGCAAUUUUGUUUGGUUAAAUCCCAUUGUCACAUAAAUAUUAUCAUCAAUUUACUUUAUCAACGUAUAUUUUUUUUGUAAGUUUAUUUUACUAAUAUUUUUUCUUGCUUUUUUUUUCGCAUUUUAAAUUUGGUAUUAACUAUUAUGAAAGUAUUUUUUUGUCUAAAAAAUGAUUAAAUAAUAUAAAAAGGCAUGGUACAUAAGAGUUUUGGAACAAAUGAAAAAUGAAAAAAUACUUUCAAAUGAUGGAACGAUUUUGUAUAGUUUUCAUAAUAUGAAAAAAAAAGGUUUUAUUAUUGUAAUGCAAAUUAGGUUGUACUUUGACAUUAGAUUUUUAAGUAGUUCUGAUCAUUUUAAAUUUUUUUUUGUACUUUAGUAUUUUCUAUUCACAACUUUAUUACACAAAUUUUAAAUUUUAUCUUAUAUAUUCUUACAUUUUUCUAUAAUGUUCAAAAAACUAAAGUAAUUUAAAUAUUUUUAAUUAGCGAUCCAAUUCAUUAUAAAACACUCAUAUAUAUGUUAAUAACAUAAAAACACUUUCAUGAUGAAUAUUUUUAUUAAACUUACCAUACCCGUGCAUCGCACGGCCAAUUCACUAGUUCUCACUAUAACUAGGAAGUUGAUAUAUGAAAUUUACGAAAAAAGAAUGGGAUGUGUGCGUAUUAAUGUAAUUUGACCCAAAAAAAAGAUUCAAUAAAAAUAUCCGAAACAUACUUUAAAUUAGUCAUAACUCAUAAAAAUUAAGUCCCAACAAAAAAUAGUUAUUAAAAAUACUUUAGUUUAAUAAAUUGAUCGUGACUUAGCUUUGCUUUUUUUUUUUUUUGUCACGGACUUAGUUUCAUAUAUGUGGAUUAUCAAACGGACCAAUCAUCCAAAAACAUAAGUCCAAUUUUUUUUUUUUUUACCGAAACCAUUAAGUAAAAAGAGAGUUCAAAUUUUGGUAACCUUGGGAGCAGUUCUGUUUAAUUUUGUUAAUUGUAUCAUGAUCUGAUACAACUGCUAGUGUUCACUUCCAUAUCAAGCUUCAAUUACUAAGAAAAUUUCCUCAAGCCAAAAUUAUUAUGCGUAAAACUCUAGCAAUAUGAUUAAUGAAUGAUAUUAAUAUUAUAUUAUGAUCGUUUUGUCAUUAAUUCAAUAAUAAUAAUCAUUAAAUUUGUCAGUUAUAAAUUUAGAAUCAAGACAAAUAAAAUUAAAUGACGACUCAUCUAAUAAAGACAGCUAUAAUUUAUCUUGAGUAACAUAUAUAUAUAUAGCCUUUUUGUUUUAAACUUUCACUUUCAAUGUAUAUACAACAAUUAACAAAUAAAAAUAUAUAUUAUCUGCAUAUAAAAUAUUAACCACUAGGUAUUUAUAUAUAAAUGUGUAUUAUUUAAUUUAUUUUUAAAAUAUAUUUUAUAUUUCAAUAUACAUUUUAUAUAAAUUGUUUAUUGGUGGUUGAUUUGUUACGGAUAGCCGGUAUAGGUAGCAUGGUCGAUAAACAAAUCAUGUAUAUUGCAUUGUUAAUAAUUUGUUAUUAGUGACAUCAAAGUAAAGAGGGUUACAUGGAAGCACACAAACAACCAACGAGUCAAACACACCCACCUUUCAUCCACAUCCACUCCUUCCCCUUCCACGUUCAUCACACGCAUGCAGCAACACACACCCUUUGAUAAUUACGUGCAUGCACCACUCUACUCUUCAAUCACCAUCACAUACAUGCAAAGUGAUUAUUAUGGUACUUAAAUAACGUUGCCUAAUUUAUUAAAAAUAAGUACACUCGACUUCACGUGAAGUUAAUAGUUGAGAAUCGUUAGAUAAUUUGACUAAUUUAACUGAGUUUUCACCUUAAAAAUAACUGCCAAUGAGUUAUAUUUUAAAUAAUAUAAUCUCUUUAUAUUCAUCUAAAAAAACAUAAAAAACAUNNNNNNNNNNNNNNNNNNNNNNNNNNNNNNNNNNUGAAUUAUAUAAAAUUUUAAGAUUUUUUUUUUAUUUUUUAACGUUUAAUAUCCAUCUGUCUCACAAAAGGAUAGAGGGAAAACGUAAGGCAAUUUUCUAAAUAAAAACAGAGAACGGAAAAAGGAUUUCCACCAUAUGAAUAUCAUUGCCAUUUCUAAUGACAAUAGAGGAGUUUGAUUGGGUAAUUGAUGUUGAAAAAUGGUAUUAAAUUAACCGUAAAUUUAAAAAAAAUUGACUAAUUUUCUACGGUUAAAAAUUUAAAACAUUAAAAAUAAUUUAAAAAAAUUAAAAAUAUUAAAAUAAAAAUACAUACUUUAACUUAUUACUAACAAUAAUUAAUUAUUAUAUUUUAAAUACAUAUAUAAAGAGACACAUCCAGAAAAUAUAUUUAUAAAGAUACUUUUAUUAAAUACAGCCAUAAAAAAGACAUUUUUAUUAGACACAUUCACAAAAACACUUUCAUUAAACACAAUUAUUAAUAAGAGUUGGCAGAAGUUGAUAGAAAUACUGUUGAUAAUGUAGCGGAAUUGUUUUUAUUAUUAUUUAGGCAUUCCUUAACGCUUAAGACCAAGAAAAAAAAAAAAAACCGUAGGUGCACAAAUCUCUCAAAUAAGAAUUUCGGGUGGCAAGAUGGAAAAGCACAUCGAUGAAGGCGUUGGAAGACUCAUCGUUUUCUUGUGGCUGAAAGUGCGAAGUCUUCAUUCUUGUAUGGUUGCGGAGGCGCAAGAAGCUAAGAUUUGGAAGAAUAGUGGCGGAUAAAAUAUGAUUAUAAAUAUUCAAUCAAAAUUUAAACCACAUGUUGUAUGAAGACAAAAUCAACCCCACAAAAGCAGGUUAUCCAGCUCUCUUUGUCUAUCUAUAUACGUGUGCUAAACAUAGAAGUCGCAUUGCCAGCACAGUUUAGUUUGUUUUUUACUCCUUUAUUUUACUCUAUCUUCCUCAUUUCCAAGGCUCUUAGUGUGUCAUUCUUCAGCACUAUACAACACACUAUCUUUUCUCCUCGUCACACUAUUGUCCUAUUUAAUUAUUGAAGCACUAUGUCCUCAUUACCAAAAACAUAUAUAGGAUUAGGACAGAACACAUUAAUUAUCAUUUUUUUUAAUAAAAAAUUUACAUUAUGUAUUUAAUAUGGAAAUAUUUUUUUAUUAAUAAUAAUAUUUUGAUAUAUAUCCUUUAGCUAGCUAAACUCGUUUAUUUUUUUCCCAUCGAUAAUUUGACAAAUCAAUUAAUUAGAAUUCGAAUUUUAUUCAAUAGUCUUCUACACUAAUUAAUAAAUUACUGCAUACACAAUAUAAAAUUUAAACUCUUAAUAUCUACUUAAACUAAUAAGUUGACUAGCUAUACGACCAAAACAAGUUUAACAUAAAUAUUACAACCCAAGGAAACAAACUAAAAGAAAUAAUGAUAUUUUUAGUUUUUUUACUCAUUUAAUGAAUUCAUUGUGAAUACAUGCAUAAUGAGUAUUGAGAUACACUCAUAUGUAUACGAUAUAGGUUAAAUUCAUACUACAAAAAAAAUACCCAUUUAAAUAUACUUAAAAAAUAUAGCCAAAAAUAAAAAAAAACAUCUUAAAUUAAGACUACACUUUUUAAACUACAAAGACGCUUUAGUGAGAGAUGUCUAUUCGACUGUUGUCUACGAAAACACUCAUAAUUUAUUCACUUUUUUCUCAAAUAAAAGAUAAAUUAUUUUUUAUAAUAUGUUUAAUAGCUAUAUGUUGGAUAAAAUAGAUUGUUACUAUAAUCAAAACUAAUUCUUUAUUAAAAGAAUUCUCUAGUAAUUUUUCAGCCAAAUUUCUUUCUUUAAUUUUAUUUCCAAAUGUAAGAAAGAAGAGGUAAAACGAUAUUUUCUGAAAAUGAAAAUCUAUAUAAUUUAUAAUAUCACUGGCUAGCCACAAAAUAAAAAAAAUGUUAUUUAAAAAAAAACAGCUGAAACAAAAAGAUAAUUAUGAAAUGCAGAAAUAGAAAGUGGGAACAAAACUAAAAGCAGAAUAAUUUUUUUACAAAACCUGCAAAUAUUCACAUGACUAAAGCAAAUAAUAAUUUACAAGAUGAAUUAAUUAAAAUAAAUAUUCUAAAAACAAGAAGAAUAACACACACAAUAUUUUCUAUGAAGGGUAAACAAUAAAACUUAGAGCGAAAAUAAAAUAAAUGCAGAGAAGGCAGAAUAAGAGGACAAAUAUGGAGUGAAAAAGAGAAGAGAAUAAGUAAAAGUAAAAUCUCAACACGAGAGGAGAAGGGAUGAUUUGGUUUCUCUCCGGUAUGUCCAGCUUUAUUAUUAGGGUAAUUCAAAUUAAAUUAAGAAUUAGUGUUAAUUAUGAUGAUAUAAUUCAUUUUAUCUAAAUUAUUAGAUACUAGGAAUAAUUUACUUUUUAUUUAAGAGAAGAUGGGAGUGGAAAUCACCUUAAAUUUAUACAUAUUUUCGGAGAACAGAUUUUCAAACAUUUAAAUUUUUUUUUUUUUUGUAUUGAUGAUAUUUAAUAUUUUUUCUUAUUCUGAAAUGGAAAAUGCUAGGUGUAAAAAGAAAAGAAUUGAUUAGUCUUGAUUCAAAACUAAGGAAAAAAACAUUUAUGGUUUAAUUUUUUUUUUUCUUGUAAAGUAGUAGAGUUAAACAUCAAACAGAAGGUGCAUUAAACAUUGAACAUCUCAUUGAUUAUACCACAUAACAACAUGGCAUGCUUAGGUACCAAACAAAAAGGCAUCUUGGACAGUAUUUGCAUGAAAAUGUAACGUGGAAGCACAAAAUCAAUUAAUGAAGCAAACACAGCCACCCCACCCUCCUUCCCCCUUUCCCUUUUCCACGUACCUCACAUGCAAAAUCCCUCCUUUCACCUAUAAAUACCAUCACCACCAUCCACACUCAAAAAACACCACACACUCUUCAAUACACAUUCCAUAACCACCACAACAACAAUGGCCAAGCUCACCAUACUAGUAGCCCUCGCCCUUUUCCUCCUCGCUGCCCACGCAUCUGCGAGGCAGCAGUGGGAACUACAAGGAGACAGAAGAUGCCAGAGCCAGCUCGAGAGGGCGAACCUUAGGCCCUGCGAGCAACAUCUCAUGCAGAAAAUCCAACGUGACGAGGAUUCAUAUGGACGGGACCCGUACAGCCCUAGUCAGGAUCCGUACAGCCCUAGUCAGGACCCGGACAGACGUGAUCCGUACAGCCCUAGUCCAUAUGAUCGGAGAGGCGCUGGAUCCUCUCAGCACCAAGAGAGGUGUUGCAAUGAGCUGAACGAGUUUGAGAACAACCAAAGGUGCAUGUGCGAGGCAUUGCAACAGAUAAUGGAGAACCAGAGCGAUAGGUUGCAGGGGAGGCAACAGGAGCAACAGUUCAAGAGGGAGCUCAGGAACUUGCCUCAACAGUGCGGCCUCAGGGCACCACAGCGUUGCGACUUGGAAGUCGAAAGUGGCGGCAGAGACAGAUACUAAACACCUAUCUCAAAAAAAGAAAAGAAAAGAAAAGAAAAUAGCUUAUAUAUAAGCUAUUAUCUAUGGUAAUGUUAGUUUUGGUAAUAAUAAAGAUCAUCACUAUAUGAAUGUGUUGAUCGUGUUAACUAAGGCAAGCUUAGGUUAUAUGAGCACCUUUAGAGUGCUUUUAUGGCGUUGUCUAUGUUUUGUUGCUGCAGAGUUGUAACCAUCUUGAAAUAAUAUAAAAAGAUCAUGUUUUGUUUUGGCGAGUAUAUUAUGUUUUAUUUCUCAUUUUGGUUUUUCUGAUUGAUGAUGAUUAGUUGAAUAAAAGGUAUUGAAGGUUUUUUUCCCCUAAACUUCAUCUAUUUAAAAAUUUAGAUCAAGUAAAAUUUUAAUUUUUUUAAAAAGUUAUAUUAUUUGGUGGAUAGGGUGUUUUCACGCUAAAAUUUUGAAUACAGGUGUUAGAGAAAAGAAUGACGCGAAGAGAGAUGGAUGUGCUUCUUUGUUAGAGACGCACUAGUCAAUUCAGGACAACAUUAUGUCAAUGUCACAUUAGGUNNNNNNNNNNNNNNNNNNNNNNNNNNNNNNNNNNNNNNNNNNNNNNNNNNNNNNNNNNNNNNNNNNNNNNNNNNNNNNNNNNNNNNNNNNNNNNNNNNNNNNNNNNNNNNNNNNNNNNNNNNNNNNNNNNNNNNNNNNNNNNNNNNNNNNNNNNNNNNNNNNNNNNNNNNNNNNNNNNNNNNNNNNNNNNNNNNNNNNNNNNNNNNNNNNNNNNNNNNNNNNNNNNNNNNNNNNNNNNNNNNNNNNNNNNNNNNNNNNNNNNNNNNNNNNNNNNNNNNNNNNNNNNNNNNNNNNNNNNNNNNNNNNNNNNNNNNNNNNNNNNNNNNNNNNNNNNNNNNNNNNNNNNNNNNNNNNNNNNNNNNNNNNNNNNNNNNNNNNNNNNNNNNNNNNNNNNNNNNNNNNNNNNNNNNNNNNNNNNNNNNNNNNNNNNNNNNNNNNNNNNNNNNNNNNNNNNNNNNNNNNNNNNNNNNNNNNNNNNNNNNNNNNNNNNNNNNNNNNNNNNNNNNNNNNNNNNNNNNNNNNNNNNNNNNNNNNNNNNNNNNNNNNNNNNNNNNNNNNNNNNNNNNNNNNNNNNNNNNNNNNNNNNNNNNNNNNNNNNNNNNNNNNNNNNNNNNNNNNNNNNNNNNNNNNNNNNNNNNNNNNNNNNNNNNNNNNNNNNNNNNAGUUGUUUUAACCGUUGAUUUCAAUUAAUGUAUAUUAUAUAUAUUUUUUUAUAAUUUAGAUUAAUGGUUAAAACAACUGGAACACCAAUAUUUUCGGUAUACUUAAAACUCUUCCUAUAACAUAAACUGUAACACUUUACCACACAGAGUCUUAUGUUUAAGUCAUAAAACAGAGGUGGUCAGGUAUUAUGACCUCUAAAAAUAAAAUUUAGUACAUAUAGUAUUGCAAAAAUAUUUAUAACUAGGAGCCUUUGAAGCUUCAAAGUGGGUAAAUCAAAACCGAUUAAAUCAAAAAGCGCAACACUCCGAUCGAUAACGUAAACGAAACAACGAUAGAAUGAGCUAACACGAUAAGAUAUACAAAAGAGUGCCAAUGAUACAUAUAUCAAGGCCCAUGAUUCGAUUUGCGAAGGUAAUCGGUCCGAACAUAUAAGGUAUACAUACAUAUAUAAGGAACUUCCCAAAAGACAACCCACAAGACAAAAUACAGAACCUGUUUUUUUCAAAAUACCCUCUAAGAAGAGUUAAUACAAAAUACAUAUACAGUAAAAAAUAUAGUAUCUAAACAAGUAUAAAAUAACCAAAAUAAAAUUCCAAAAUACAAAGAUUUCCGCCAAAAGAAAGUCUUCAGUAUACCUCAGUGAGGAGCCUCACGUCCUGCAUCUGAAAACCACAAAAUCCGCAUGAGUGAGAACCGGUGGUUCUCAGCAUGGUAACAGUACCCAAAUAUCUAACAUGUAAUGUCCUGGAAAAGUCGAAGGCAAUCCUAGAACUUCCAAAUUAUAAUCAAAGCGCAUAAACAUGAUAAGCCAUAAAAAAUGUAAAUAGGUGACUAACUUAAGAGUCUUCAAACUAACUAAACAUCCCCUUUCUAAAUCCUGCAAACCUCCCAACCGCCAAUAGUAACAGAUACAAACACAAGUAUAUCAAACAAAGAAAUGCACGAGUAGGAAACAGAUAAGACAAUUAAGCAAUUAGCAAGUAAUGAUGCAAUCAAUUAGGUAAUCCAGACAAUUCACAUAUAAUGCAUAUGAUGCAUGCUUAUCCUAGUGGUUGAUGAGUCUCAUCUGUUAGUUAUCUAUCCAACUCGACGUGUUCGAUAGCUAACCCGGCCACAGUCUCUCUAUUGCGCGUUAGUACCAUUAAAGGGAAUACGUGCCCUGUCACCGUUAGAGAGUAUAUGCGCCCUGUCACCAAUUUACCAUUAGAGGGUAUCUGCGUCCUGUUGCCAUUAGAGGGUAUCUGCGCCUUGUCGCCCUCACAACCAGAGAGAAAGCAUUACAAAUAUACUCACACCCAACCUCUCCAUUUGUUAUUCAUUUACCGUAUUCAAUCAUGAAUUACAUAUACAUUUAUCCUCAGCCAAACAUCAACACCUAUCUCAGCCAUCCGGCGUAAAUUCAUAAUUCAUUAACAGCCAUAACCCAGCAUCACACACAGUCAUUUGACUCAUAUCAUUCCCGGCCAUUCGGCCCAUACCAUACACAGUACUCCACCAUCUUCCUCCAAAAUUCAUAUCAUCAUUUUUCUUUAUAACCCAUCAUAACAUCCCCGUUCUUCAUCCAUAAGCUACCCUUUCCCCCAGCUUACUCACAUUCACUAGGUAUUCUAUAUCAAUUUAAGAUUUAAGGGAUGAAUUUGGGGGUUUAUAAGCGUGAAAUAACAUCUCGGAAGGUUACGAUCUUGUUGGGAAUGUGAAGAACUUGAAAACAAGAGUUUUAGAAAUGAACUGGGUCACGUGCGUACGCACAGGGGUGUGCGUGUGCACGCCCAAAAGCAUUUUUAAACGCGUGCCUGUGCGUACGCACAGAAAGCAAAAUCUUCAGGGUGAGGCGCGCGCACAACGUGUGCUAGCAUCGCCACCAGUGUGCCAUUUCCAACGUGUGCGUGCGCACAGACCGGUGCAUGCGCACAGACCGGUGCGUACGCACAGCUCGAAAUUCUUCGAUGGUUGUGUGUGCGCACAGGGCAUGCUAGCGCUACCACCAGCAGCCCUGUCUCCGUGUGUGCGUACGCACAAGGCUGUGCGUGCGUACAAGACCAAAUCCUCGCAGUGUGCGUGCGCACACAAACCAGAAAUCAUAAAUUCUACAGAAGUUGCAGAACUCAGUUUUCUGGCCCAAACUUCCAGCGAUCAUAUCUCCUUCCACAAAAUUCAUAUUUCCACCAAAUUUAAACCAUUUUAAAGCUUAUAAAGUUAUUUUUCAUUUGAUAUAAAAAUCAUCAAAUUUCGAAAACAAUAGCUCAAGAUAUGAUCCGUGGAAGUUCAUCAAAUUUUCAUUUUCAUCAAAAACUCAUAAACUCCUAAUUUUAAAACAUACACUUAUCAAACUCAUUCAAAACCCAUCAAAACUCAUUCUUCCAACAUCAAUCAUUGCCAAUGACUCAUACAAUCAUCAACCCACCAAUUCUACCAUAUUUAUCCAAAUCUCAAUUUAACAAAUCUCAUAUCACAAUCAACAUUUCAUAUCUCAAUCCCCCAAUAAAUAUUCAAUUCAUCAAUCACCAUAUAUAUAAAUAUAUAUACACAUAUCAUCAUCACAUUUCAAAUCAUGCUCAUCAUCAAGAGCCCCAACUUUAUCAUCAAUCCAACAUAUUAAAUCCACAUAACAUACAACAAUACAUGCUUUAUCAACCAUACAACCACUCACAAUCAUGUCCAUAAUCAUUCAUACAUUUCUAAUUCAAUCCAAAGUAACCAACAACCACAUCAACAAUUCCAAAGUCCUAUCCUAGGUUCACUAGCCAACGUUUUCACACCACAUUACAUUUUAAAUACAGGAAACCGAAGCCAUACCUUGGCCGAUUUUCGUUCCACCCGGAACCCUCUCAAAUUCACUUUUUCUCAACUUCCAAUGCCUUAAUACUUCACCAACAGAUUUCUAGGCACAAGCUCCACUCCAAGGCUUGUCAAAAUCACUAAUCAAGCUCCAAUAUACAUAUAUACAAAGCCUAAACCACAAUAUCACACCCAAACACAAUAACUCAAUACCCAACACCUCAAAUUCAACAUAUUCACUUGGGUUAGAGAAUCUUACCUUACCCAAUGACCAAGAAAGCUAGAGAAAGCCUUCUCUUCAAGUUAAUUUGAGCCUACAACAUCCAAAUUCAAAAAUCUCAACACUUUACCCACAAAUUUUUGAAAAUGAGAACUGAGAAUUCGAAGAACAAACUGUGGCUUACCUCAAGAUUGCUUAUGUGAGUUUUUUAGAGCUCGAUGCCGCGAUCGCGUGGCUGUAAACAGUGCGUCAAUCGGAGCUCCAGAUCAAAAGAUAUGAUCAAUUGAAGUUGGAGCAAGGGUUUGUGUUUUCCUCCCCCUUUCCCCUCUCAAUCUCAGCGUGAAUGUGUUCUUGAGGGAGGGAGAGAGCUGAGCUUCAUUAAUUAAAUGAAGCUUGGCUGGGUCAUGGGCCCAACUUGGGUCCGGUUAGUUCAGUUUGGUCUGUUCGGCCCAAUCUUGAGCCGAUUUCUUUAAAAUUAGUGUCGAAAUUCUCGUUUUAAUUUUAUCUAUCACAUUAAAUCAUAAAAAUCGCAUUUCUCACUUUCUAAAAUAUAUUUUAAUUUAUUGGUUAAUUAGCCAUUAAUUAACUGAAUUUUUCAUAAACAAAUUUAAAUCAAUUGUUUGUGGUUAGAAUUUUACCAUAUCUUUUCAAUUUUAAUGGAUAAUUUAUCUCUUAUUAUAUAUCAUAACAUUAGUGGUUGAAUAAUUAAAUUGGUUUGUCAUGAUUAAAUUUAAUUUUUUAUUUAAUUUAAAUUUUAUUAAAUUAACUAUAACUAACUAUGGUAUAUUUUUUUUUUGUAAUUUAUAAAAAGAUUUAUGCUAUGUGUACACUAAAAUUAGCCAUCAAAGUCAGCCACCAAUAUAAAAUACAUGUUAAAAUACAAAUACACAUUAAAAAUAAAUUAAACCACAUAUAUAUUUAUACACAAAUACAUUGAUAGUUAAUUUUAGUAGCUGAUUUUAGUGUACAAAUAACAUUUUUCUUAUAAAAAUCAUUAAAAAAUUCUCACUUUGUAAUUUAUUUUUUCUCAAACCACAUAUUUAUUAAUAAUUUCAAACAAAAAAUCUCAAAAAAANNNNNNNNNNNNNNNNNNNNNNNNNNNNNNNNNNNNNNNNNNNNNNNNNNNNNNNNNNNNNNNNNNNNNNNNNNNNNNNNNNNNNNNNNNNNNNNNNNNNNNNNNNNNNNNNNNNNNNNNNNNNNNNNNNNNNNNNNNNNNNNNNNNNNNNNNNNNNNNNNNNNNNNNNNNNNNNNNNNNNNNNNNNNNNNNNNNNNNNNNNNNNNNNNNNNNNNNNNNNNNNNNNNNNNNNNNNNNNNNNNNNNNNNNNNNNNNNNNNNNNNNNNNNNNNNNNNNNNNNNNNNNNNNNNNNNNNNNNNNNNNNNNNNNNNNNNNNNNNNNNNNNNNNNNNNNNNNNNNNNNNNNNNNNNNNNNNNNNNNNNNNNNNNNNNNNNNAUUUUAUCUUACUUCUUUCGUAUUAUUAAAAAAAAUUCAUUUUUCAUACAAAAACAAUUUGAAAAAAAAAAAAGCAAUUAAACUCAGGGUUGUUGAGAACAAGAAAAAAAAAGAGGGAAAAAAAGAACUAUGCAAUCUGCACCAAAUUUGACGAAUUUUAAGGGAGUUUAUUUUAAAAAUAUGUUAUUUUCUCAAAAAAUUCUAUAAUUUUACGUACUUGUAUAUAUCUCAAUUUAUUUAUUCAAUAAAUUCAUUUAACAUACUCUAAUUGAACUGUAAUUAAAAAUAAAUUUUAUUGUAAUAAAAGUUUNNNNNNUUGUUAGUGGCAAUUUCAUGCAUUUCUGGCGAGAAGGGAAACGAUUUUUCCGGUAGCAGCAUGGAGAUGGUGGCAUCAAUAUUUGAUGGUGUUAAGGAAUAUAACGGAUGAUGUAGUUUUUUCCUUCUAUUAAUAAUAACUCAUAAACAGAAUAGCCAAUGAGUUAUAACUCAAAUGACAUAGUCUUUUCAUACUCAAUUAAGAGGUUACGGGUUCGAGUCUUUUAUCUUUAGUAAAAAAAAAAAAAAAACUCAUAUUGCAUUCCAAUGUUUUUUUAUUUUUUUAAUAUUUUUGUUUAAGACAUAAAAAUAGGAAAGAAGAGAGAAGUUGAAGAUGUCUCUUUAAUGGGCCAUGGACAUUUUGUUUUAAUUAAUCAAUUACAAUUUUUGUUUUACAUACAUGUGUGCUUUUAGCGAGUGGGUUGUCAAAUUUGUGAAAAAUAAAAGAGUCAACGCCAAUUUAAAAAAAAAUAAAAUAAUAAAUAUUUAUUUUGAUUUUUGAUAAUUUAUUUGAAUAAUAAAAUAUUUUUUAUAAUUUCAAAAUUUUAAAUUAAUUUUUAAUUAUUUAAAUAACUAACAAUUUGAAAGUCGCUAACUGAUCUCUACCUAUUUUAAUGUUGAUCUAAUUGAUUUUCAAUCGUUCAAGUAAUUGAUCCAAAUGAUCUUUGUAAACAAUAACUUAAAUCAAUAUAAAAAAUUAUUUAAACUAAUUAUUUAAUUAUUUAGAUAAGAGAUUGAUUAAAAAAUUUUAAAUUUGAAAAAAUUAUUUAUCGUUCAAGCAAAUAUUUAAAGAACAAAAAGAAUAUUUACUCAAUAAAAAAUAAAUAAGUUUUGAAAACAAAAUAGACGAUUAAUAUAUUGAAGUAAGGCUAAUUCUAUAUACUUAUUAUUUAAUGUUUAAAUUUUGUCUACUUUAUUUUUUAUAAUAAAUUUUAAAUAUUUAAAAUUUACUAAAAAAAUUAGACAACAAAUAUUAGAUGCCAUAGAAUUGGCCUUAUAAUUAAUAUGUGACAUUAGAGUGGCGGCAGAUGCUAGACUCAAAAAUAAUAAUCUGUGCCAAAACAAACUAGUAGGAAGUAGCUUAUAUUAUGAGCUAUUAUGUAUGCUUGUUUCGUUAAUAAUAAAUAUCAUCACUGUAUGAAUGUGGUGAUAGGUAAGGUUAUAUGAGCACCUUCGGUGUGCUCUUAUGGCUUUACCUAUGUUUUGCUACUGCAAAGUUUUAACCACCAUGAAAUAAAAGAUCUUCAAGUAUAUUAUGUUUUAAUUUCUUUGACAUUAAUGAAAAUCAAACUCUUCUAAUUUUUUUUAAAUAAAUUUUUUGAUACUAUGACAUUUAAACAGAACAAAAAUAUUUAGUAAACAAAAAAUAUUAAUAAAAAAUGAUUAAAAAUUAUUAUUUUUAGUUUUAUUUAAUACAUUUUAUAAUAAAUAAAUAUUAAAUAAGACAUAUUUAAAUUAUUUAGGUAGAUUAUUUUUUGUUUUCUAAUAUUACCAUAAACAGAACUGCGUAUAUAAAUAGUUAUACGGUUAAUUUAUAUUUGUAAUAAAGCUGAUCCGGACAAUGAUACCAUUAAAAGAAAAUGUAGUUAGCUUAUUAAGCAGAGAUUAGACGGACAAUGAUAUCAUUAAAAGAAAAUAUAGUUAGGUUAUUAAGCAGAGAUUAGACUGUUGUAGGCGAGGGACUGUAAUGGUAUUGAAAAUUGAUUUACUGUAAUAAGAGAAAUAAGAAUAUAAGAGAAAAAGAAAUAGAUAGAAAAGAGAAUGAUUAAGGAAGAAGAAGAGAUCAGAUGUCUAGAUAGACAUUUCAUAAUUUACACAUAUUCACUAUUAUUAUUACUANNNNNNNNNNNNNNNNNNNNNNNNNNNNNNNNNNNNNNNNNNNNNNNNNNNNNNNNNNNNNNNNNNNNNNNNNNNNNNNGAUUUUUGAAUUGUCUAAGAGUGGCUAUUCAUCAGUCAUCAAUGUUGGGUUUACUUUUUGAGAUAGGACCUAUCUCUUUGUAUUUGUGUUAGACAUGUGAGUAGUAGGUAACUUAAAAGAUACCUUACUAAAAUUCUAUUUGUUUAAAAAAAUACCUGACCCAUCAUGUGUUUAAAAUAAUUUUCUUUACAAGUUGGUCCAAAUUUUAACCAACAUUUGACAUAUGUAUAGUAAGGGUUUAAUUUCUAAAGAUGGGUUUUCACUUCCUCAUUAUUCUCCUUUAUGAAGAGAAAAGACAUCAAGUCAAAGGAUUCAUCAAUCACCUCUAAAUUUGUCUGUAUCAUUGUUAUUUAUAGGCUUUUGUCUUAGGUUUACACAUAUACACAGUGAAAAAUCACAUAUUAUAUAGAAUAAACACCAAAACAACAAAAAAAAAAAAUCACAAAACAUAAUUUUUAAUUUUUCUGUAUCUCUAUAUAUUUUCAAUAUAGAUGAGAAUAAAUACUUAUGUUUUGUCUUAUCUUGUUGCUCGAUCCAUCAAAAUUCAAAAGACUAGAGUUAUUUACGAAUUAGAUUGGUUUGGAUUUAAGAAAAAAAAUCAAACUGAUUAAAUUUAAUUAGUUCGAGUUGGUUCGAAUUUAAUUUUUUUUAAGUAAAUCCAAAUCAAUUUGGACAGAUUAGAUUUGAAUUGAAUUAGUUUAGAUGAUUAGGUAUCUGAUUGAAACUCGAUCCAUCAAAAGACUAGAGUUAUUUACGAAUUAGAUUGGUUUGGAUUUAAGAAAAAAAAUCAAACUGAUUAAAUUUAAUUAGUUCGAGGUUCGAGUUGUUUAAUUUUUUUUAAGUAAAUCCAAAUCAAUUUGGACAGAUUAGAUUUGAAUUGAAUUAGUUUAGAUGAUUAGGUAUCUGAUUGAAACAAAAGAUGAGGAGGAGGAAGAUGAAGAGUUUUGAAUUAUGCAGAACUUAUCAGAAUAAAGAUGCAUUGAAAUUUAUUAACAAAAAUACAUAAAUUUCUUAGUUUUUAUACCGAAACUUUGCUACAAAAGCACAAAAAUAUCUUCUUUAAUGUUGUAUUUUUUUCUUCUUUUUUUCUUAUUUCUUUCUUUCUUUUAGUUGAAUGAAUGUAGGUUUAUCCCCUUCCUAGUAAUUUUGCAGCAUUAUGUGUUUCUUCUUCUUUGUUUGAUAUUUUUUUUUGUUUUUAUUUUUGUUAAAAGAGUAAAACAAGAAGAAAUUUGAGAAGGUAAAACAAGAAAGAAAAGAUUAAUAAAAAAAAGACGAUGAUGAAAAUGAAGAAGAAGCAGCAGAAGAUGAGGAGGAAGAAGAGAAAGAGUUGUGAAUUAUACAGAACUUAUCAGAAGAAAAAUACACUGAAAUUUCUUAACAAAUACACAUAAAUUUCUUAGUUUUUAUACCGACACUUUGCUACAAAAGCACAAAAAUGUGCAACAUCUCAUUAGUAAAUUAAUGUGCAGGAAUAAUCGGAUAAAUUGUGUGCUUUUUGGUCGGGUUAUAGAUAAUAUUAUGCCUCACCUUGAAGAAGAAAGGGUUGGACCCCUCAUCGUUGUGCUGAGUUUUGAAUUAUGCAGAACUUAUCAGAAUAAAAAUAACACCAAAAUUUCUUAACAAAUACGCAUAAAUUUCUUAAUUUUUACACCGAAAUUACUUAAUAUGAUUGCAAUAUGCAAACUCAGUUUAAAAACAAGAAUACAAACAAGACUGAAUCAUGAACAAAAACAUAUCCAAAUUAAUUUUGGAUCAGGCAACGUCAUUAAUAUGACAAAAAUUCAACAAUAAUGAUAAUAAUAACGAUAAAAAAAGAUGACGAUAAUAAUAAUAAUAAUGAUAAUGAUGAUAAUGAUGAUGAAGAUAAACGAUUAUAACAACUUGGUUAAGUAUUUUGUUUAGAUAUAAAAUUUUAUUCUUUUGGAUGUAUAAUCAAAUUAUCCGUACCAUAAACACCUGUACAAAAAACCGCUAGCGCUGCAUCAUAUGUUAAUUGAUAUAUUAAAUUUACUAUAUUCUAUCUUUUUCUGUACGUGCAUAUUGUAACACCCUACCACACUUAAUCUUAUGCUUAAGUCAUAAGACUGAGAUAAUAGGUAUUACGAUCUCUAAAAUUAAAAAUAUACAUAUAAUAAUAGUGAAAGAAAUAUUUAACUAGGAGCCUUGAAAAAUGGAUAAAACAAAAUCGCAAAAAUAAAAGCGCAACGCUCAGGAAAUGAGAUAACUUGCGUGCUAAGAAAUCUAAAGAUAAUAAGUAUAAAUAGACAGAAAAUGAGAAUAGAGAGUCAAGGAUACAAAAUAACUAACUCCUAACUCAGCCUGCGAAGUCAAGGCUGACCGGAGAAUAUUUACAUACAUAUAUACAUAUCCCAAAAACCCCUGAUACAUAGGUAAAGUCCUAGCUCUCCUUUAACCUCUAAGAGGAACAAAAUAAACAAGUUUCUUGGAGAUAAAGCUAAGUACAUAUAUACAUAAGAUACAUAACAAAAGAACCCAGAAACUGCUCCGCUUCAGGAGUCCAGACGCCUAGCGAGGUGCCUCUCGACCUGCAUCUGAAAAAUAACAAUACAAUAUGGGGUGAGAACCGGAGGUUCUCAACAUGGUAAAUGUAACAUCUAGCAUUUUUUGAAAAUCUAAAUAUAAAUGAAUUGUGAUAUUAUCUUAUCAAGUUUAAAAUUUAUAAUUUUAGAAAUUAUUUUGUUAGAAAUAAUUAAAUAGAUUGGAGAUAAUUUUAUUUUGAAUUAAUUAAUAUUCUUAAGUGAUAUUGAUUGAUUAUGUGGAUUGUGAAUUGUUUGAUGACCAAUUGUUGAGAAUUUCUAAAUUUUGAUGAUUAUAUUGGAUUGUUGUCGUUGAGCUGGUUAUUGAUGUAUUGUGAUGGCGAUGAAUUUAGUUGGUAGUUGAUUUGGAAUUAAUUUUGAGAAGUAUUAAAGGGAUUGAAUUUUGAAAUACUAAACUACUUGUUGAAAAUAUGAAGUUUUGAAAUGAAGCGGCAACUUUGAAAGUGAACCGGCAUCUUAAUAGUGAUUGGAAUGAUAUGAGACUAAAAGCUAAGCGAACUACAAUAAGUAUAGUUAUUAAUAUUCAAUUUUAAAGGUUUCGUAUUAACUAGAGAAUUAGUUAUGAUAUUUCAAAGUUGAAUUAUGAAAUUUGAUUUUCUACAUUACUUUUAAACGAAGUCAGAAACUUUGAAAAGCUAUAACUAAUUUUGUGAUGAUCGGAAUUGCAUGGGACCAAGUCUGGAUUAAACUUAGGAAUAUAGGGAAUUGGACUGAAAAAUUUGAGGCAUUUUUGUUAAAUGUACAAUUUAUGGUGAAUUUUUAGAUUUAAGUUGAUAAAUCUGUCCUGCAGCAGAGAAGUUCAAAUAGGGCAGCAACUUGUUUGUCUUGCUGCGACUCCUACGAGUUGAGUUUUGGAGCAAAACUAAUAUUGUUUUAAAAUUUGUUUAACUUGGUUUAUUUCUCUAAAAUUUCAAAAUUUUAGGAGUUAAGAAUUGGGAGUUGUGAAUUUUUGAAAACUGGUGAUCAAAGCCGGAAAGAAUCAGUUUUCAGCAAGUUAUGCAUCAACUUCUAAUGCUUGUUGAUGAUAAUCAGUGGCUAAGAGAAGGGGGUUGAAUCUUAGCCCUCUUUUUCUGAAUGUUACUUUCUGCUUUUUAGAAUAGCUCCAGGAGAUAUUCUGCUUUUUGUCUCAUAACUGGUCAAGAGAUAUUUUCUUUUUGGCUCGUAACCGGUUAGGAGAUAUUUUUCAAUUUUAUCUCCCACGAACAGAAACAGUAAAUGAGUAGAAGAGAAAGAGAGAAUCACACCCAAAAGUAUCCUGGUUCAGCUACUAAGUGCAAUGCAGCCUACAUCCAGUCUCCAUCACAAUAGUGACAGAAUUUCACUAUAAUCAACUUGAUUACAGACACUAAUUCUUCCCUAGGAACUACCCAUUCCUAUCCGGGACAAGUCCAGAAUCUAUCCCUAAAACUGAACUUGACUUGGUCACCUACCAAGCUUUCGACUGAAAAGUGCUAACCCAACUUGCAAGGGAACAAGUCAAGAUUCUACCCCAACCCAAACUUGACUAGACCUCAAUCUAGCUUUCAACCGCAAAGUGCUAACCCAACUUGUAAGGGAAUCUCCUCAGGAUCAUGACAACAAAACAGAAAUACAUACAAAGAAUUUUUGAUAUAAUAAUGAUUUUUUCUUUAACUCUGCCUUUUUUUCACUCAUUGGCUUUUUCUUACAAAAUCUCACAUUUUGCCUUUUACCAAUGAAACACAGACAGACUCACUGAGGAAAAGAAAUAUUCAAUGAAAGCCAUGAAGGAGAAGAAUAAAUAGUUCAAAGAGCUAUGGGAACCCGAACGUAUGCUCUCACUCCUUGUCUCAAGCCUUGGCUGCUCACCCUUAUUAUAGAAGGGGAAGCCUCCAAGGUUGAAACGGUUCAAUCGAGCUAACUUCUUCUUCUUCAACACCAAAACCGGUUCGAACAGAGAGAAGAGAGAGGGAACCGAAAGCUAAAACCAACAUGCAAUUACCUCUCUCUCAUCCCUUUUCUUCAAGCUUCAUCAAUCUGAGCCUUCCAUCUUGACUUGGUCCCCAAGAAGGAUUUCUGACCCUUGAUGAACUCUUGAUCCUUGACAGCUCCAUCUGCUCCACUUUUGCUUCCUCCUCCACAUAGCUAUAGUAGCCACCUUCUGUGAUGGAUGAACAAAAAGUAGAAAUGAGCCAUACCACAGGGAUCUUCUUCUCUGACCGAAAUGGAUUGCUACCACUUUUGGCAUGGAGAUCUUGAAACUUCUUCACCACAUCUUGCCAUUAGUAGAAAAGAUCUCAGCCACGCCAUGCUUUGGAUCUUCCUUUUUUGCAAAGGCCAUUAUCCUAGCCUUUUGCUUCUUCCAGCUUCUCUGUAAUUUCUCUGAUAACUUCUUCUUCUUCUUUCUUCCAUCUUCUUUUUUGAUGGAUGUGACAAAUAAAACAAGAGAGAGAAGAGAGAGUAGAAACAAAGCAUUGAUUGUUAGAUUAAAUGAAAUUGAAAUCCUACUAACAAUCCCAAUGCAUAAAGUAACGUGUGGAGCAAUUAAUGCCAUCAAAUCAAUUUUAAUUUUUUCUCUCCUAUUACCAAUGCAUGCAAUAAAAUCAAGUUAAUAAAUUUUGAAUUCCAUAAGCCAUGGAGGAAUGUAACCGUGGAAAGCAUGCACUCAAUUUGAAUUUGGAUCUCACCAAAGUAAAUGGGUAAUAGAAACCUCAUGCUCCAUUUCCUUUUUCUUUUGAUUUUGGACCAAGUCUUGUUGGUCACCUAACAAAAAUUAAUUUGGGCUACUCACAUGAUACAUGGCCCAAAUUACCUUUGCAAAAUAAUUCAGCCAUACUCUUAGAAAUCUUUUUGCACAUUGGCUGAAUAUUUUUUCAUUAUUUUGGACUAUGUUGUUUUUAGCCCAAAUAAACAAAUCAAAGCAUGUGAGAGAGUGAACAUUUUUGUGAUCACCGUAUGGAGCCUUUGGUCACUUAAAGAGAUUGCAUUAAGAUCAUUGAAUGGCUUCUUCCAAGGCUUUGGGUCACUUGUUUCUGUCUUUAAUUUAUGAUGGGUUUUGAUGGAUUUGGGCCUCCUUGGAUUUCUUUCUUUCUUUAAACAAUCAGCUACUAACAUUUGAAUUAUUUUUGCUCAAAGCUAAAUUUGUUCAAAGAUCAAUUUGGGCUUGUGUAACUUUGACCCAAUAGAAAUUAAAUUGCUUGCUUGCACACUUGAACACAAAUCAUCAAACAACCUAUUGGAAAUUAUUAAAUAAAACACUUAAUAAUAAUUUUAAUAAUUUCUUAAUUUAUAUUUUAAUAAUGUUUGAUCAUCAUUUCAGUUUUUCAAACUUAACAAUCUCCCUCUUGAUGACAAACAUUAUUAAAUUGAAUUGAAAGAGUUAGGAUAGAUAACUUCCCUUUGAAGAUUUGCCAAAAUCUCCCCCUUUCUUUUGUUCAAUGUGCUCCCCCUUAAUGUGUGCUUGAUUAAUAAAAUAUUUAAGAAAGCCAUCACCUGUAUACAAGCUCUAAAGAGUUCCAAGAAGAUACAGAUUUCAAAACAUAGAACCUUUAAGAUCGAGCCAUUAUUUUCACAACAUGAUCCAGAUAGCACAUGUAUGUAUACUUAAGCAAAUAAAUUUUUCAAAAUAUAAUUAGAGCUCAAGUUGAAAUUCUCUAACACAGAGUGCUCAAAACAAUGAGCCAAAAUAGAGCACAAAUAUGAAACAAAAUGCUCAUGUCCAAACAGGACAGCAACGAAAUAGUUUCAAUUCAGCAAUUUAGCUCUUCUUUCAUUUUUCUUCCCCUUUUGUCAUUAAAGAGGGACAUAUCAUAUGUCAAAAGUUUGCAAGGAUCUUAUCAAUUUCCAAAAACCAUCAGCCAGCCUUGAAAGAAGCAUGAAUCAGAGCUAAACCAAGCAUUAAUUAAAUACUAUUUAUUCACAGGCUCAUAUGCUAAGCUAUAAACAAUAUUCACAACCAGAUGAAACUGCAGAUUUUUAAAUACAAAUUCAAAUAAUAAACAGCAGCUCAAACAUCAUCAUAGAUAAAAACAAACAGCAGCAACAAUAGCUUCAAACAUUAUUAUCAUAGAUAAAAACAAACAGCAGCCUUUUAAUUCAUUUUUCUUUCUCCUCCUGCAUGGAAAAAUAGUUCACCAUAUAUACAAAAAGUGUAGAGUAGGUAAAAAUGUAAAAUCCAAGUUACAGUCACCCAACAGAAUUCAACAGCUGAGAUCCAAAAAUAGAACCAAAAUUAUGAUAAACUAAUGUUUCAGAAAAAGUUUUUCAGAAGCAACAUCAUGGAGCAGUCUUAAAAAAAAAGAAAACUCAAAUACCAAAAUAAAAAAAAAAACUAUAAUAAGUAUAAGCAAUAUUCACAACCAGACCAAUAUGCAUAUUCAUAGCUGCGUGAAAUAAUAGUGAAAACCCAAGAAAAUUGCAACCAAUCUCAAGCAUCAUAAGUUCAACUGUUUCACUAUAGCUGUUUCAAUUUAUUUUCACACAAUACUUACUCCCCCUGUUGUUAUUGAGAAUAGUAAAUCUGCACACAAAAACAGUUCAAUAUGUAAUCCACAAGUGCAAAACAGGUAUGAGUGUAAGUGUCAACAGAAGUUGUAAAAUUUAUCAUAAAAAAAAAACUAUAAGAAAUUAGCUGCAUCAAAUCGGACUAGACAUCAGAUCCCUCAUCCUUGGUUGUAGGAGGAUCUUCCUCUUCUUUCAAAAUUGUGUCCUUGGCUGCCUUUGUGCCCUUUUUCUUAGAUUUCUUUACAGCACCACUACCUUUAAGAUUUAAAAUUUUGUCUUGGGUUUCAUUACUCAGAUCGACACCACAAUACUCAAAAAUACAAGUUAAAAACAUUCUAUAAGUAAGAAAAAUGGGAGUAGUGGAGAAGAUGAGAAGGUAUCAUAAUAAAUGCUUUAAAUGUUCAAAAAUCUUUUGAAAACCCAAACCAAUUCAAUAAAACGAGAUUUAAAGAAUUUUGAAUUUUAAAAACAAUACACGCAGUUUUGAAAUGACAAGUCAAAUAAAAGAUUGAAAAGAUUUUGAAACUAAUUUGACUUGAAAAAUGAUGAAUGUAAAUACUCUCAUUUUUGGUGUAUGUGAUCAAAACAAGUAAUGAGACCCACUACAUAAAAUAAAACAACUUUCUCUUGGACUUAGUAGUGGUUUUAAGGAAACACAUUUGACCACCAAAGAUUUAUUUCAGAUCCAAAUUCAUUUAAAAUUAUCAACACAUAGUCUGAACUUCAUGGAACCUAGAGGGAGUCAUCAUCUGCUCAGUUUUAUCUUCUUGUAGCCUGAGAGACAAAAACAACCAAAAAAAUCUUUAAGCACAUUUAAUUAAAAAAAACUCAACAAUGAACAGUCCCUAGAGUAGUUCUCAAUUUCACAAAUUGAAUGUCAAUUGUUCCCUUAAGCACAUGUUCUUUUAUGGAAUAGAAUCUUACUUUAAUGUGCUUAGUUCUUGAGUGUAAAACAUGAUUUUUUUUAAAAAGAUUUAUUGCACUCAAGUUGUCACAAAACAUAGGGAUACUAUUGACUUACAAUUUGUAAUGUGCAAGAUAUAUUUUAAACCAAGUCAAUUGAGAACAAGAGGAAGUUGAGAUAUAUAUUUAGCCUCAGCCGUUGACAGAGCAACAGUAGCUUGCUUCUUUCUUGUCCACAUAUGGAUUUUCCAAGACAACAAAAAAUUUCUGAAUUGCUGCUCCUGUUCACACGAUCUCAGCAAGAUCUUAAAUUGGACCAGUUCUUCCUCAUUUGCUUUUAUUCAAGAGGGAUCUUCAAUUAUUUUCUUUAUUUUGGGAGUUCCAUUUGUGAUGCAAGAGCGAAGUUAUUGAGUUUGCCUCUUUUUCUUCUUGAGAAUCUUGUGGUAACUCCAUGAGAGGGAUCUCCAAUGAUAAAUUCAUGUGGAUAGUUCUUCAAGAACUUCUAUUCUCUUGGCUUUUAUGAGGUGAUCUCAAGUUGAGUAUGAACAUGAUCAGUUCCAUUGAGAUUUUCAGAAAUCUCUAUGUCAGGAGGAGACAAAACAGAAUCGUCUCCUAGAUUCUGGUUUGCAGAAUUGUGAACAGCAUCUUCCAUUGAAGGUUCAGAUUUGUCUUUUCCUUGAAUUCUUCUAAAUUUUGUGCAAUCUUAGUUCCUGCAUCAAUUUUCUCAACAACACUUGAAAUAGAGUUAGAAUAAUAAGAAAAUGAUAUGUAUGAACUCCCCAAUUAUUCCAUGUUUAUUGAUGUAAACUCUAUAAGCUUUACUAGUAGUUGAAUAUCCAACAAAGAUACCUUCAUAAGAUUUUUGGAUUAAAUUUUUUAAAAAUAUCUUUAGUGUUUAACACAAAGUAUUUGCAUCCAAAAGUAUGAAAGUACUUAAGAUUGGAUGGUACUCCUUUUCAAAGCUCAUAUGGGUUUUCUUUAAAACUUUUCUAAUGAUGAUUUGGUUCAAAAUAUAGCUUCAAUCCAAAAGAAUUUUAGUAUUUCAUUUUCACCAAAACAUAGCCCUAGUCAUUUCUUGAAGGCCUCUAUUUCUCCUUUCAACAACUCUAUUUUAUUGAGGUAUGCUAGGACAUGAAAAAUUAUAUGAAAUACCAAAUUCAUCAAAGUGUUGUUUUCCAAACUCAUUUUCAUGAUCACUUCUUAAGAAAAUAGUUUUCAUUUUGAAUCUUUUUGCAUAGAGUUAAGACAGCAAGAAAAACAUCAUUCUUAUGAGCUAAGAAAAAGAAUUCAUCCAAACUUAGUAUAGUCAUCAAACACCACUAAGCUAUAGUGCUUACCAGCAAGACUUUGAAUCCUUGUAGGACCAAAAAGAUCAAUGUGUAGCAUUUUUAAAGUUCUUUUGGUUGAGAUGUCAUCCUUGGGUUUGAAAAAUUUUUUUUUGUUUAUUUACCCAAUUAACAAGCAUCACAAGUGGUGUCAUUGUCAAAUUUUAUUUUUAGGAAGAUAUCUAACCAAAUUCUUUUUCCCAAGCUUAGAAACUAGAAACAUGCUUGUAUGUUCUAUUUUCUUAUGCCAUAACUAUUUCUUAGAUUCUGUGGAAAUAAAACAAGCUACAUUUUAUUCUAUUAGUUCCUCUAAGGUUAGUCCAUACACAUUAUCGCAUCUUAUAACUUCAAACAAAAUUUCACCAAAUUUUUCACACACAACUAAGCAUUUCAAUUUCUUGAAAAUAGUCAAACAACAUAAAUCACACAAUUUUCUCAUGCCUAGAAGAUUGUGUUUCAACCAAUCAACUCAAAAUACAACAUCAAUGAAAGUUGAGAAAUUCUUACUAACCUUACCUACGGCCAAAUUUUUUCAUUUACCAUUGUCACCGAAAGUCACAAAGCUUCCAUCAAAUUCAUCAAAGAAAGUGGAUUUUUCGGUCAUGUGCCUAGAGCAUCUCCUAUUCAUGUAUCACAUGUCUUUCUUUUUCUUGGAUGCUAAGCAAAACUGCACAAAUCUUUUAAGUGACCUUAGGUAUCCAAACUAAUUUGGAUCCUUUGAAGUUAACCCUUCUUGGUUGUCCAAGAGCAUUAAAAUCACAGACAACCUUGUAUAUUUUGUUUCCUACUCUUCUUUUGUCAAUAAAGCAUUAAUAAGAAGAGUGACCAGAUUUAUUGCAAUUAAAACAGUGAUUUGUGUGAGCAUGUUGCUGAAAACACUUUAAGAUAUGAUGCUGAUGGUGAUCAAAAGAUUUGAAUUUUUUGGUAUUUGAAAGGGUGCAUUUCUUUUGAAAGAUCCAUCUCUAACAUUAGUACCUCCUUUUGCCAGAAAUCUUAAACCAGAAUUUCUUGACACAGACGGGUAUCUAGAACGUGAGACUCUUUUGUGAAAGAAAAAUUUUCUAAAAACGUCCUCAUUGUUAGAGAUGUAACCCAGACUAGAGUUUAUUUGAAGCAGGUUCAGGUUUUGAAUAAGAUGCAUUUUUAUAAAAAUAUGGCUUUUCAAAAUCAGCAUUAAUGUUAGAUGAAUAUCCAAGACCAGAUUUAUCAAAAGAUGAUUUUAUUUUUGAAGAUGAUGCUGUGAAUUUGCAAGUGAUUUUUUUUAAAUGCAUCUUUUUUUAUUACAUACCCUAAACCUGAUUUUUCAAACAAAGUUCUUUGAUUAGCAAGUAAUUUGUCUAAGUUGCUUGAGUUAUGUGCAAAUUUUGCUAAAUCAUGAUUCAAUCAUUUGAUCAUUUAAUCUUUUAUUUUCAGCAACAGAUUUUUGAGAGAGAUCAAUAAUGCGCUUUCCAUUGAAAAUUUUCAUAUUUAAAAAAAUCUAUUUUCUUUAAUAAAAUCAAAAGCACAUUUGAUCUCCUUCACCCUUUUCUUUUAAAAACUCAUUUUCAGCAUUCAAAACUUCAUUUUCAGAUUUACAUUUGUUGUAUCUAUUUAUCAAUAUUUCAGAAAGGUGAGAGAGAUCAUCAAUAGUCACAUGCAAAUCAUCAAGAGAUAAGUCAUAGAAAUUUACCUCUUCUUGUUGAUCUUCAUCAAUCAUGAAACAGAUUUGUGCUCUAUCUUCGGAGUCCUCUUCCUUAUCUGAGUCAAUCUUGAGAUCCUCCCAAGAAGCCAUAAGUCCUUUCCUUUUUGGUUCCUUUGAGUUGCCACCUCUGCUUCUUCCUUUGAGUUUCAUCAUCCUUCUAAGUUUUCUAGCAAAACAUGCAAACUCGUAAUCUUAUAAACAGUCACUGGAUUCAUCAUCUAAUGAUUUAGUGCAAGAUUUAAGAGCCACUCUCCCUUUUAUUUAUUUUUUUUGUAUCAUCAUUUUUUUUAUUUCAUAUGCUAAUAAAUUUUUCUCUCAACUCAUUACAGGUUAUUUCACUAUCCACUCUCUUGUCAAGCUUCUCAAGAUUUUCCUCACUAGCAUCUGUUCGGAAUGAGUAAUCCCCAUAGCUUUCAAGCUAUUAUUGAUGAUAAAGAAUGUUAUCAAUUGAUUCUUCUUUCUUCAUAGAGAACAUCUCAUACUCUUUGCUCAGCAUGUCAAUGUUGGUUUCUUCCACUUGUGUGGUGCCCUCAUUUGUGACUUGAAACUUUAUCCCAGAUUUUCUUUGCUGUUUUGCAUCUUGAAUCCUUUCGGUAUUCCUUGAAGCUGAUUACACAGUUCAGCAUGUUGACAGUAUUGCUAUUUAGUUUUUCUUUCCUUUUGUAAUCUUCAUUCCAUUCUGCUUCGACUUUGGGAGAGACAACACCACCAGUGCCAUCUUUUGUAGGGACUUGAGGAUCAUUUAUGAUGAUCUUCCACAUGUUGUAAUCCACUGACUGAGAAAAAAAUCUUCAUUCUUCCUCCUUUUUUUGAAGAAUGGAGAUCUAUUGUUAGACUGUCCUUCAGUCAGGAUAUAAGCCACUGUGUUUGAACCCAUGUAGUUCGCCAUCAGGAUCUUUUCCUCCAAGCUGUGAAGCUUGAUCUCUUUGAGACCAAGCUCCGAUACUAAUUAAUGAUAAUCAGUGGCUAAGAGAAGGGUGGUUGAAUCUUAGCCUUCUUUUUCUGAAUGUUACUUUCUACUUUUUAGGAUAGCUCCAAGAGAUAUUUCUGCUUUUUGUCUCAUAACUGGUUAAGAGAUAUUUUCUUUUUGUCUCGUAACUAGUUAGAAGAUUUUUCAAUUUUAUCUCCCACAAACAGAAACAGUAAAGGAGUAGAAGAGAAAGAGAGAAUCACACCCAAAAGUAUCCUGGUUCAGCUGCUAAGUGCAAUGCAGCCUACAUCUAGUCUCCAUCACAACAGUGACAGAAUUUUACUAUAAUCAACUUGAUUACAGACACCAAUUCUUCCAUAGGAACUACCCAUUUUUAUCCGGGACAAGUCCAGAAUCUAUCCCCAAAACUGAACUUGACUUGGUCACCUACCAAGCUUUCGACUGCAAAGUGCUAACCCAACAUGCAAGGGAACAAGUCCAAAUUUUAUCCCAACUCGAACUUGACUAGACCUCAAUCUAGCUUUCAACCGCAAAGUGCUAACCCAACUUGCAAGAAAAUCUCCUCAGGAUCAUGACAACAAAACAAAAAUACAUACAAAGAAUUUCUGAGAUAAUAAUGGCUUUUUCUUUAACUCUCUGCCUUUUUUCUACUCAUUGGCUUUUUCUUACAAAACUUCACAUUUUGUCUUUUACAAAUGAAACACAGAUAGACUCACUGAGAAAAAGAAAUAUUUAAUGAAAGCCAUGAAGGAGAAGAAUAAACAGCUCAAAGAGUUAUGGGAACCCGAACGUGUGCUCUCACUCCUUGUCUCAAACCUUGGCUGUUCACCCUUAUUAUAGAAGGGGAAGCCUCCAAGGUUGAAACGGUUCAACCGAGCCAACUUCUUCUUCUUCAACACCAAAACCGGUUCGGACAGAGAGAAGAGAGAGGGAGCCGAAAGCUAAAAUCAACAUGCAAUUAUCUCUCUCUCAUCCCUUUUCUUCAAGCUUCAUCAAUCUGAGCCUUCCAUCUUGACUUGAUCCCCAAGAAGGAUUUCUGACCCUUGAUGAACCCUUAAUCUUUGACAGCUCUAUCUGCUCCACUUUUGCUUCCUCCUCCACGUAGCUAUAGUAGCUACCUUCUGUGAUAGAUGAACAAAAAGUAGAAACGAGCCAUACCACAGGGAUCUUCUUCUCUGACCGAAAUGGAUUGCUACCACUUUUGGCAUGGAGAUCUUGAAGCUUUUUCACCACAUCUUGCCAUUAGUAGAAAAGAUCUCAGCUACGCCAUGCUUUGGAUCUUCCUUUUUUGCAAAGGCCAUUACCCUAGCCUUUUGCUUCUUCCUAACUUCUCUAUAAUUUCUCUGAUAACUUCUUCUUCUUCUUUCUUCCAUCUUCUUUUCUGAUGGAUGUGACAAACAAAACAAGAGAGAGAGGAGAGAGUAGAAACAAAGCAUUGAUUGUUAGAUUAAAUAAAAUUGAAAUCCCACUAACAACUCCCAAUGCAUAAAGUAACGUGUGGAGCAAUUAAUGCCAUCAAAUCAAUUUUAAUUUUCUCUCUCCUAUUACCAAUGCAUGCAAUAAAAUUAAGUUAAUUAAUUUUCAAUUCCAUAAGCCAUGGAGGAAUGUAAUCGUGAAAAGCAUGCACUCAAUUUGAAUUUGGAUCCCACCAAAGUAAAUGGGUAAUAGAAACCUCAUGCUCCAUUCCCUUUUUCUUUUGAUUUCGGACCAAGUCUUGUUGGUCACCCAACAAAAAUUAAUUUGGGCUACUCACAUGAUACAUGGCCCAAAUUAUCUUUGCAAAAUAAUUCAUCCACACUCUUAGAAAUCUUUUUUCACAUUGGCUGAAUAUUUUUUUUCAUUAUUUUGGACUAUGUUGUUUUAGCCCAAAUAAACAAAUCAAGGCAUGUGAGAGAGUGAACAUUUUUGUGAUCACCGUAUGGAGUCUUUGGUCACUUGAAGAGAUUGCAUUGGGAUCAUUGAAAGGCUUCUUCCAAGGCUUUAGGCCACUUGUUUCUUUCUUUAAUUUAUGAUGGGCUUUGAUGGAUUUGGGCCUCCUUGGAUUUCUUUCUUUCUUUAAACAAUCAGCCACUAACAUUUGAAUUAUUUUUGCUCAAAGCUGAAUUUGUUCAAAGAUCAAUUUGGGCUUGUGUAACUUUGACCCAAUAGGAAUUAAAUUGCUUGCCUGCAAACUUGAACACAAAUCAUCAAAUAACUUAUUGGAAAUUAUUAAAUAGAACACUUAAUAAUAAUUUUAAUAAUUUUCUAAUUUACAUUUUAAUAAUGUUUGAUCAUCAUUUCAGUUUUCCAAACUCAACACUUGUAACUCUUAAAAUUGAAUAGCAAUUGGGUUGCAACCAAGACACUCUUGUUGCUAGAUAAGUUAUGAGUUUUCAAACCAAACUUUAGCCUAAUUGAAGUUUUGUAGUAAAAGUUAUGCAAGUUGAAAGAUACUAAGCUGCUUGAUUUCUAAAAACAGAUUUUGAAUUAUUUCUAUCUAACUUUCAAAUUAUGAAACUUCUUCAUUAAAAAUGAUAUUAACCUGGAACUAGUUGAAAAAAAAACUUGGAUAAGUUAAGUUUAACCAUAUUAAUUUUGAAGGUGGUUGGAAUUAAUUUGAAUUUUAUAUGGAAUAUUGAAUAUUAAACACUGCUGUUGUUUUUUUGGUUUUUAAGCACUGCAGAACAAGCACGGUUUUCCUUUUAUUUUCAAGGCUAGAUUGAUCAGAAAUUUAUGAUUUUUAGUUUAUUAGAAAGCUUAAUCCGAGAUGGAUGCCUGAACAUAAAGUUUUUGCAAUUCCGAAUUCAUUUGGUAUUUUAAAAACAUAAUUAAAAUUAGGCUGCCGGUGUUAUUUUGGUAACUACCUUGGGUAUGGAUCUUAAGAAAAGAUUCCUAUAUUAUUAUCAAAUAUUUUUUAGAAUGUACUGUUGUAGUACUUGAUGAUAAAAGGUUGGUGAAAUAUUGAGAAAGAGGGAAACCCGUAAGGGUGGUUAAGUCCUAUUUUUAGAGGAGAUCAUGUCCAAACUUUUAUAAAAAUAUAAGGACUUAAUCAAAAUGAAUAUUUAAGACUUGUUUAAUGAUGAUAACUUCAACAAUUCUUUUGAGAAAAGAUAAUCCGUUUAUGAAAUUAUUGGCAAAGACGUGGGUUUUGUCCCGCUUGCAUAUUUAUGAUUAUAAAAGAGAAUAAAAACCAGAGGAUCUGUUGAAAGGUCAUUUGUUGCUUGAGGCAACCCAAGAUAUGUUGUUUAUUCAUUUGUUGCACUAAGGCAACUUCAGAGAUAUUUAUAUGUUCAUCUGCUGCAUUGAGGCAGUCAGAUAGAUGGUGGUUCGACCACUGAGAACGCUUUCCUGUGGUACAGAUCCAUAUUUCAUUUCUGUAAGGCAGAGGGGUUAUUUCCUGCUACAGAAGUACCGUGACCACCUGUUUCAUUUCUGUAGUGGCAGAGGGAUUAUUUCCUGUAUACAGAAGGUGUGUCGGCAUACAUCCCUGCAGUGGCAGAUGUGUUAUUUCCUGCAUGCAGUGGACCCUGUGGUGGCAGAGGGGUUAUUUCCUGUACACAGGGGUAUAGCCAACAGGAAAUCCAUAUCCGGGUAGUAAUGCUGGGUUAAGCCAGGAGCGGGUAGAAACCGACAGAUGAGCUCAUUACCUACACUAUGGCUAGACAUGCAUCAUCUUGUUUUUGCAUUAUUCUUUGUGAUAUUUCCUAUGCUUUUAUUGUGUUCUUUAUUUUGUUUGCUUGUGUUCUAUUUGUAUAGUUCUACUUGCCUAUUUUUGAAUUGCGCUUAGAGUUAGGUAUUAUAUGAAAAGUCAUACUAGUUCAGCAUAGACUUAAUGAACCUAUGUUUAGGACAUGCUGACUAUUCAUACCGAGAUUGACAUAAGCUAAUAUCCAAUUCUCUUUCAACAUAAUUUUCAAAGAGUCUUAUGUAAUUAAUGAAAAUGAAUAUUAUUGAAUUAAAUUAUCUAUUUGCAUUUUUAUUCUUUAUUUUUACGACAUUCUCGAUCUCUACUGAGAACUUGUGGUUUGGUUCUCACCCCCAAAUUUUUCACCCUUUCAGUGACACAGGUUUGAAGACGCAAUAUGAAGCUGCAAGCGAUUAGUCGAUUUUUUCAUUAUUUUAAUUGCUUUCAUAGAGUCCCUCCCUAUUGUCCUUUGAGAUUUUAUCUUACAUAGAGGGGUAGGUAUGGUACACUGUAUUUGAGUUUUAUUUGGUUUCUUUUGUAUAAAAAUUAUUGCUAAUAGUAUUUAUGUGAUUAUUAUUACUUGUAGAAUCUUUGAUAUAUGUCUUUAAUAAAUAAAAACAAAAUUUUUCGGUAUUUUCUUAAAUUAGAAACGCGAAAUCAAAAUAAAGGCUCAGUAAUUAAGUAGUUAAUACUAGAAAAGGUUACGUAAUGUUCUUUCUAGUAGAAAUACCCUGACUUAAGCAAGGUAUUUUGCUGGAAGGGAUGUUACAGUAAAGGUGUCAUGCACAUAAAUUAAUCCCUCACUUUGCAUUAAGUGACUCAUAUUAGUCCCUAAAAUUAAAUAUCGUCGUGCACCAAACUAAUCGAUUCACCAGUUUUUUUUCAUUUUUUUAAAAAAUUUAAAAUUUUCAAUAUCUUGGAUGCACUAAUUUUAAUUUUGUUUUUUCAUAUAUCAUUUAAAUACAAGUACUUUCAUAAAAAUUCUCAUUGUCAUUAUUACAUCAUACUUCUAUUUAUAGUAUAAUUCUCAUUCUCUAAUUGGGCUAACCCAAUACUAAUCUUAUCAUUAUCCUAUCCUUCAAAACAACCUUGUCCUUAAGAUUGGAGAAAAAAUAUAAAACCUAAGUAAAAUCGUAAAUAUGAAUUACAAGUACUAAACAAAAUUAAUUUAAAAAAUAAUAUUUUCUAUACUACUACUUAAAAUAAAAAUUCGCCACCAGAAUCACAUUAUUUAAAAUAGAGUAAAGGACAAAUAGGUCCCUGACCUUUUUUUUGUGGACAUUUUUGUCCUCAAGGAAGAAAAAAUACAUUCAAGUCCCUCACUUCCAAAAAACGUGGACAUUUCAACCCUUCCGUUGAAUUCAGGCGUUUGGACUGGACGGAAAAGUCUGACCUGGCAGAGGUGGCACUGACCUGGCCGUUACGGAGCCCACGUGGCAGGAAGCUUUUCGAAACAGGACAUAUAAGUCCCCGGAGAUGAAAACAACGCCAUUUCGUUACCUCCCCUCCAAACACAGUUGAAUCCCCGUAUACAAUACCCAGAAGACCCAUACUUGAGUGAGAGAAUUACUGAAAAUCCUAUGCCAAAGACGAUCAAACUCUUUCGUCUCUAUUUUUCCCUCCAAAAAAUACAACACGUACAAGAGCAAUAGGUGCCGGUUGAAGUUGGUGCCAGAAGCUGAGAAGAAGCUUGCUCUGAGGUCAUGGUUGCUAUCUUCGUCAGAAGGUAAAAUUGUGAUGCUUAGCUAGGAAGGCAAUGUGUGUGCAUGUUUAUAGUGUAAGAUAGAAUAUGAAAAAAGGGGUUUAAAGCGUCCUUUGUAGGAUUAGGGGAAAGGAUUGUGUUAGGGCAAUGUGGUUUCGUUCAUAUCUUGUGUUUAUGUGUUUUUUAUUUUAAUCCUAGUUCUGCACGGGUUAAUUUCAGAUGGUUGAUGUGUUUGUGGUGCCGGUCUUUCAUCAUGGAGGGAACUUUGUAAGGGAAAUUGAUGAAAAAAUGGUUUAUCAAAAUGGAAAGGAAGAGAGGUUUCCUCAGAUGGACCUAGACUUUGUUAAUUUUGGAGACCUGGUGACACUAUUUAAGGGCUUGGACUACCAGUCAUACAAGGCAGUAUACUGGUAUGAUCCAACAAGCACUGACAUUGAAUCCGCAAUGAACAUAUUGACUAGGGAUGCAGGGAUCAACGCAAUGCGAGAGAACUUAAUGAAGAACCCAGGGCUAGGUGAGUUCCAUAUAUACUUUGACCACCCUGUUAAUGAUCCGGAGGUUGUUGAGGAUGCUGCCCAGGACAGAGAUACUGCAGGGGAGGUGGAUGAAACUGCAGAGGAACUGAAUGCAUCCUCUUCAUCUGAUGACGGGUACAAGAGCACGGAGGACGUGUUGUACAAACCUCCACCGGCUGGAAUUGAGAGUGAUAGUACUGAAAGUGACAGCAAUGGUGGGGUUACUGCUGGGAAGAGGAAAAGAUGUGUCAAGGGUAAAAAGAAGGUAGUCACUCCGAAGAAAAAGGUAGUUACUCCAAGGAAAAAGGUAGUUAUUCUGAAGAAGCAAGGGAAGAGGAAGAGACAAUUUGGCACAAGGGUUAAGGAAAGAGGGGAAGGCAGUGGGAAUAGGAAUGAUGUACGUGGUGAAGCUGGGGAUCAGUUGCCUGAUGUCCAACCCGAUUAUGCAGUACGGGUGGGUUUUAUGUUAGUGAGCUCCCAACAGAGGUGGAGAAAAUCAUGUUUGAGUAUGAGUCUGAAGACUUGCAUACUCUCAUAUCAUCCGAUGAUGAAGGCAGAGGUAAUAAAUUUCCAGAUUUUGAUGAUGAUUAUGCUAAUGGUGAGGGCAGGUUUGAGUUAGGAACUAGGUUUACCACUGUGGACAGGUUCAAGGAGGUAGUUAAAGAUUCGUUCAUUGUUGAGGGGCGGGAAUUGAGGUGGAUAAAAAAUGACAAAGAGAGAGUGAGAGUGGGGUGUGGGGAUCAGGAGUGUCCUUACUUGGUUCACUUGUCAUAUAACAAAAGUUUGCAGUGUUAUCAAGUGAAGACCUACCAUCCAAAACACACUUGUGCAAGGGAUUUGGGCAGUAACGCUGUUGAUCAGCACUGGCUAAGUAAGAAAAUUGAGAAACGAAUGUCAACCCAACCACACAUGAAUACGAAGAAGACAACUGAUUUCCUUAAAGAGGAAUUUUCGCUCUGUCCCCAUCCUAAGAUGGUUUAUAGAGCAGUGAAGGAAGCUAGGGACAAGAUCAUGGGAAAUGAAAGGGAACAAUACAAGAGAACGAGGGAUUAUUGUGAGGAAGUACUUAGGAGAAAUCCAGGCUCAUCAGUUAGGCUUGAGCUCAUGCCAAUUCUAGAGGCUCCCCCUGUUUUUGAUAAACUGUACAUUUGCCUAGAUGCCUGCAAACAAGGUUUCAAAGAUGGAUGUCGUCCUUUGUUGCAUUUGGAUGGUUGCUUACUGAAAACAUAUUAUGUUGGUUGGCUUCUAGAAGCAGUUGCUCAGGACGCAAACAAUCAGUUUUAUGUGGUUGCAUAUGGGGUUGUCAGGACUGAGACCAAGGAUUCCUGAAAGUGGUUCCUGACUAAUCUGCAAGGGGACAUAUGAGACGAUGCAAACCAUGGCUGAAACUUCAUAUCAGACCAGCAGAAAGUGAAAGUAGUUUAUGGUUAUUUUCAUUGCUUUGUAUUUAGUUAAGAUGAUUGCUAACUAUUUGGUGAUCUUCAUUGCUAUCUAUUUGGUUAAUUUCAUUGCUGUCUGUUUGAUUAAUUUCAAUGCAGGGUUUGCUGCCUGUGCUGAAGGAGGUCAUGCCACAUGCUAAGCUCCGCAAUUGCGUCAUGCAUAUGUGGAAAAACUUCAUAAACCGCUACAAGGUCUUGUACAUUAGACAUGUUAUGUGGGAGUGUGCUAGAUGCAUGACUGUUGCUGAAUUCAAGGAAUGCAUGGAGAAGUUGAAGACAGUUAACCAGGGUGCUUGGGAGUACCUCAGUAAAUUUGAACCAGAAACAUAGGUUAAGGCUUACUUCUCCCAUGGACCAAAAGUGGAUAACCUCACAAACAUGUGCGAGGUUUUUAAUGCUAAAAUAGUAAACUACCGUUGCAAGCCUAUCCUAACUAUGUGUGAAGAGAUCAGGUGUUACCUGAUGAGGACUUGAGGAGGAUGGUGAAUCAUAAACGGGUAUUGGACAAUCACUCAGAGAAGCUAGCACCAGUUCAGGAAAAGAGGCUGGAGAAGUUAUUAAAUCUUAGCACCAAGUGGACGGCUGAAUGGAUUGGUGACAAUGAACGAAAGAGGUUUGAGGUUUCUCGCAAAGCAACGAAGGUGGAUGUGGACCUCAUUAGGUACAGUUGCUCAUGCAACAGAUGGCAAUUCACUGGUAACUACUGUUCUCACUUGAGUCAGUUUUUUGGUUAUUUUGAAAUGAAUUUCCUUUACUGUUUUUUUGGUUCCAUUACUCACCUUCACUGCAUUAUCUCAGGCAUGCCCUGUUUACAUGCACUAGCUGCCAUUUGGAAGAGACAUGACAUACCUCAUGACUAUGUUCACCCUUGGCUGUGCAUGGAGUCCAUCAGGAUGACAUAUGCACACUGCAUUAAGCCUGUUCCAAGUCCAGAAUUUUGGGCAAGAACUAAGUUCUCGAAGUUAGACCCACCCAUUAUCAAAAGGCUAAUUAGACAGCUAAAGGUUCAUAAUAGGCAAAAAGAUCCUGCUGAGCCCAUCAUGCAAGGGGGAAAACUGAAGAGAUCAUUCAUUGUAUUCUGCAGCAAGUGUGGUGAGAAGGGCCACAACUACAAAACAUGUAAGAGAGCUCCUUCCAACCCAAACUGGAAGCUGAAGACAAGGCGCCCUAGGAAGAAAGCAGCUAGCUCCUCCCAGUCACUGAUUGUGCUUCCUCUAUCACAAUCUGCUCCCCCACCAGAGGUAAGAUCCCUACUGUUAUCAUUGUCUUUUAGGGACUAUUCUGUCUUAGUACUAUUAUGGUUAGGGACUAAUCUGUCUUAGUAUACAAAACAUUAGGGUUAAAUAUGUCUUAGUUUACUAUUCAUGAGGUGCUGUUAUGUCCCAUCAUCAAACUGUUUACAUAUUACAUGCAUAUUUUCAGGAUACAUCCAGCAGCCAACCAGGCAGCUCCACAUGCCUGACCCCAAACUCCACUGUUGUGGAAUCACCUGCCCCAGAAAUCCACCUAUGCCACCAGCUCCAACAAGGGUGACAAGAUCCACAGUUGUCAUUUCACUUGCAGGGCCAACAGCUACUCAAGCCAGGCCACUAGCCCCAACUACAGGCCAUCCAUUUAAACCUCCAGGGAAAGCCAAUGACACAGCUCGCCCACAACAGUCCAGGUUCAGACCAAAAUAGAAGAUCUUCAGGCUGCCAGCUCUAAUUGCUGCCUGCACAAUCCCACCUAAAACACAAUAGCCAACUCUAUCUACCAUCCCAUCUGCAGCACGAAUCAGGAUGCUCCACCCCCAAAUUUUCCAACUUCAUCAACAACGAAGGACUCGAAGGAGUGAAGACUUCUGUCAUUAUGUGCUUUUGUGAAAACUUUUUGGAUAUGUAAUGGUUCAUAACAAGUAGUAGAUACAAUUUGCCUUUUUGUUACAUGCUUUUUGAACACUGGUGCGUAGAAAUCGUGACGGUUCCAUUCCUUGGUAACGGCACUAAAAACUCAAUACGCACGUUCAUAAUCUUAGUUCUUUGUCACAACUUCGCACAACUAACCAGCAAGUGCACUGGGUCAUCCAAGUAAUAAACCUUACGUGAGUAAGGGUCGAUCCCACAGAGAUUGUCGGCUUGAAGCAAGCUAUGGUCACCUUGUAAAUCUCAGUCAGGCGGAUUCAAUUGAUUAUGGAGAUUUAGUAAUUAAAAGAUAAAUAAAAUAUAAAAUAAAAAUAAUGAUACUUAUGUAAUUCAUUGGUGAGAAUUUCAGAUAAGCGUAUAGAGAUGCGUUCAUUCCUCCUGAACCUCUGCUUUCCUAUUGUCUUCAUCUAAUCAUUCAUACUCCUUUCUAUGGCAAGCUGUAUGUUAGGCAUCAUCGUUGUCAAUGGCUACAUCCUGUCUUCUUAGUGAAAAUGGUCCAAUGCGCUGUCACUGCAUGGCUAAUCAUCUGUCGGUUCUCGAUCAUACUGGAAUAGGAUCCAUUGAUCCUUUUGCGUCUGUCACUACCCCAGCACUCGCGAGUUUGAAGCUCGUCGCAGCCAUCCCUUCCCAGAUCCUACUUGAAAUACCACAGACAAGGUUUAGACUUUCCGGAUCUCAAGAAUGGCCGUCCAUGGAUUCUAACUUAUACCACGAAGAUUCUGAUUAAGGAAUCCCAGAGAUACUCAUUCAAUCUAAGGUAGAACGGAAGUAGUUGUCAGGCAUGCGUUCAUAGGUUGGGAAUGAUGAUGACUGUCACGAUCAUCACAUUCAUAUUGAAGUGCGAAUGAAUAUCUUAGAAUCAGAAUAAGCUUGAAUUGAAUAGAAAAACGAUAGUACUUUGUAUUAAUUCAUGAGGAACAGCAGAGCUCCACACCUUAAUCUAUGGUGUGUAGAAACUCUACCGUUGAAAAUACAUAAGUGAUGAAGGUUCAGGCAUGGCCGAAUAGCCAGCCUCCAAACGUGAUCUAAAGAUGAAACUAAAGAUGUAAAUGCAAUAGUAAAAAGUCCUAUUUAUGCUAAACUAGUUACUAGGGUUUAUAGAAAUGAGUAAAUGAUGCAGAAAUCCACUUCCGGGGCCCACUUGGUGUGUGCUUGGGCUGAGCAUUGAGCUUUACAUGUGUAGAGGCUUCUCUUGGAGUUGAACGCCAGUUUGUAACCUAUUUCUGGCGUUUAACUCCACUUUGCAACCUGUUUCUGGCGUUUAACUCCAUAAUGCAGCAUGGAACUGGCAUUGAACGCCAGUUUGCGUCAUCUAAACUCGGAGGAAUAGCGAUGGAUUCCUAUGAAGCAUUCAGGAACAAGAAGAUUCAAUCGGACGACGAAUUCUUACGUGGUCCAAGGAAAUCAAAGGUCCGCUUCCACGAUUUCAUCUAUAUCGAAUCUGAAUAUCAGAAUAGCUUAUAUAGUCAUGAUUCAAUUCAGGUCCACUGACUUUUGAUUGAUUUCUCUUCGGAUCUGAUUGGAACAUUGGAGAAGUAGGAAGAAGAGAAAGUAGCUGCGAUUGCUUGGAGACCUCUUGAAUCGAUUCUUACUUAGACUACAAUAAUUAUUAUAACCACAACUUGUCUUGUCGUACUAGAAGUUCGAACUAGAGGCAGGAAGUAAGUACUGGCGCAGGGAAUGGAGUUUUAAGAACAGGAACAUCGUUAUGCCUUCCUUUCAGUCCUCUGAUCUUACCUUAGACCCUCCAUGCUAUGCGGGGAAGCGAGGUAAGGGCUAGCUUCUAAUCUCCGAUGAUGCCAAGCGAGUCUUCUCGUACUUCAGGCACUCCAGAGGUUAGUUUGUAAAAGAGUGAGAACAUGUGAAACAACAAAGAGAAUUAGGAAUGGAAGGUGGGUGCCCUCUAUAUUGGGGGUUGAUUCUAGCUUUCCGUCAUCUCAACCUAAGCAUCACGUUCCUAGGGACAGAGACAUCUGCGCUCUAAGGCUAUCAUAGCCAGCAUGGUUACAUCUAACUGCCUACUGGGCAAGCUUCAACUUCAAAGUCACCUGAUUUGGAUAUGGACUAUUAUAUAUUGCUGGAAAGCCCUGAAUGUCUACUUUCCAAAGCAAUUGGGAGCGCGCCAUUUGGAGUUCUGUAGCUCCAGAAAAUGCACUUUGAGUGCAGGGAGGUCAGAAUCCAACAGCAUCUGCAGUCCUUCUUCAACCUCUGAAUCUGAUUUUUGCUUAAGUCCCUCAAUUUCAGCCAGAAAAUACCUGAAAUCACAGAAAAACACACAAACUCAUAGUAAAGUCCAGAAAUGUGAUUUUUAUUUUAAAACUAAUAAAAAUAUACUAAAAACUAACUAAAUUAUACUGAAAAUUAUGUAAAAAUAAUGCCAAAAAGCGUAUAAAUUAUCCGCUCAUCACAACACCAAACUUAAAUUGUUGCUUGUCCCCAAGCAACUGAAAAUUAAAUAGGAUAAAAAGAAGAAAAUAUACUAUAAAUUCCAAAAUAUCAAUGAAACUUAGUUCCAAUCAGAUGAGCGAGACUUGUAGCUUUUUGCCUCUUGAAUAGUUUUGGCAUCUCACUUUAUCCGUUGAAGUUCAGAAUGAUUGGCGUCUAUAGGAACUUAGAAUUCAGAUAGUGUUAUUGAUUCUCCUAGUUCAGUAUGUUGAUUCUUGAACACAGCUACUUUAUGAGUUUUGGCUGUGGCCCUAAGCACUUUGUUUUUCAGUAUUACCACCGGAUACAUAAAUGCCACAGACACAUAACUGGGUGAACCUUUUCAGAUUGUGACUCAGCUUUGCUAAAGUCCCCAAUUAGAGGUGUCCAGGGUUCUUAAGCACACUCUUUUUUUUGCUUUGGACCUUGACUUUAACCGCUCAGUCUCAAGUUUUCACUUGACACCUUCACGCCACAAGCACAUGGUUAGGGACAGCUUGGUUAGCCGCUUAGGCCAUGAUUUUAUUCCUUUAGGCCCUCCUAUCCACUGAUGCUCAAAGCCUUGGAUCAUUUUUAUUUACCCUUGCCUUUUGGUUUAAAGAGCUUUUGGCUUUUUCUGCUUGUUUUUUUUUUCUUUUUCUUUCUUUUUUUCCGCUAUUUUUUUUCUGCAAGCUUUUGUAUUCACUGCUUUUUCUUGCUUCAAGAAUUAUUUUUAUGAUUUUUCAGAUUAUCAAAUAACAUUUCUCCUUUUUCAUCAUUCUUCAAGAGCCAACAUAUUUAACAUUCAUAAACAUCAACUUCAAAAGACAUAUGCACUGUUCAAGCAUUCAUUCAGAAAACAAAAAGUAUUGUCACCACAUCAAAAUAAUUAAACUAGUUUCACGGAUGAAUUCAAAACCAUGUACUUCUUGUUCUUUUGUUUUUAGAAUAUUUUUUUCAUUUAAGAGAGGUGAUGGAUUCAUAUUCAUAACUUUAAGGCAUAGACACUUAGACACUAGUGAUCAUAUAGUAAAGACACAAACAUAAAUAAAACAUAAAGCUCAAAAAUCUAAAAACAGUAAAAUAAAUAGACAAGGAGAUUAAGGAAUGAGUCCACCUUAGUGAGGGUGGCGUCUUCCUCUUCUUGAAGAACCAAUGGUGCUUUUGAGCUCCUUUAUGUCUCUUCCUUGCCUUUGUUGCUCCUCCCUCAUAGCUCUUUGAUCUUCUCUAAUCUCAUGGAGGAUGAUGGAGUGCUCUUGGUGCUCCACCCUUAGUUGUCCCAUGUUGGAACUUAAUUCUCCUAGGGAGGUGUUGAUUUACUCCCAAUAGUUUUGUGGAGGAAGGUGCAUCCCUCGAGGCAUCUCAGGGAUUUCAUGGUGGGGAAUUUUCUCAUGCUCUUGUUGAGGUCCAUGAUCUCUUAUUUGCUCCAUCCUUUUCUUAGUGAUGGGCUUGUCCUCUUCAAUGAGGAUGUCUCCCUCUAUGUCAAUUCCAGCCGAAUUGCAGAGGUGGCAUAUGAGGUGAGGAAAGGCUAACCUUGCCCAAGUGGAGGACUUGUCAGCCACCUUGUAAAGUUCUUGAGGUAUAAUCUCAUGAACUUCUACCUCCUCUCCAAUCAUGAUACUAUGGAUCAUGAUGGCUCGGUCUAUAGUAACUUCAGACCGGUUACUAGUAGGAAUGAUUGAGCGUUGAAUGAACUCUAACCAUCCCCUAGCCACUGGUUUGAGGUCAUGCCUUCUUAGUUGAACCGGCUUGCCUCUUGAGUCAAUUUUCCAUUGAGCUCCUUCUUCACAUAUGUCUCUGAGGACUUGGUCCAACCUUUGAUCAAAGUUGACCCUUCUUGUGUAGGGGCAUGCGUUCUCUUCCAUCAUUGGCAAGUUGAAUGCCAACCUUACAUUUUUCGGACAGAAAUCUAAGUAUUUCCCCCGAACCAUGGUAAGCCAAUGCUUUGGAUUCGAGUUCACACUUUGAUCAUGGUUCCUAGUGAUCCAUGCGUUUGCAUAGAACUCUUGAACCAUUAGGAUCCCGACUUGUUGAAUGGGGUUGGUGAGAACUUCCCAACCUCUUUUUCGGAUCUCAUGUCGGAUCUCCGGAUACUCAUUCUUUUUGAGCUUGAAAGGAACCUCAGGGAUUACUUUCUUCUUGACCACAACUUCAUAGAAGUGGUCUUGAUGGACCUUUGAGAUGAAUCUCUCCAUCUCCCAUGACUCAGAGGUGGAAGCAAUUGCCUUCCCUUUCCUCUUUCUAGAGGUUUCUCUGGCCUUAGGUGCCAUAUAUGGUUAUGGAAAAACAAAAAGCUAUGCUUUUACCACACCAAACUUAAAAUGUUUGCUCGUCCCCGAGAAAAAGAAGAAAGAAAGUAGUAGAAAAAGAAGAAAAUGGAGGAGAUGGGGGAAGAAUAUGUAUUCGGCCAAGGAGAAGAAGAGAGGGUUGUGUUGUGUGAAAAUGAAGAAGUAGUGAGGGGUUUAUAUAGGAGUGAGGGGGGAUGUAGGGUUCGGCCAUUAGGGUUGGGUUUGGGAGGAAAAUUAGUUUGAAUUUUGAAGGUAGGUGGGGUUUAUGGGGAAGAGAGGAUGGAUGUAAGUGGUGAAGAGGUGAUGGAAAAGAGUGAUUGAGGUGAUUGGUGAAGGGUAUUUGGGGAAGAGAGUUAUGAAAAGGUGUGAAGAGGAGAGAAGAAAAUGUGGGGAUCCUGUGGAGUCCACAGAUCCUGAGGGGAUCCUGUGGGAUCCACAGAUCAAGUGGGGUCAAGGACUUAACAUCCCUGCUCCAAUUAGGCGUGUAAAAUGCCCUUGCUGUGCAAUCCUGGCAUUUAACGCCAGACUGCUGCCUGUUUCUGGCGUUAAACGCCCAAAUGUAGCUUGUUUCUGGCGUUUAACGCCAGGUAGAUGCUUGUUUCUGGUGUUAAACGCUAGACAGAUGCUUGUUUCUGGCGUUUAAAUGCUAGAUUGUUCUCCUCCAGGGUGUGCUGUCUUCAAUGCUAUUUUUCAUUCUGUUUUUUAUUUUUCAGUAGUUUUUGUGACUUCACAUGAUCAUCAACCUAAUAAAACACGAAAUAACAAAAAGAAAAUAAAAUAGAUAUGCUUAAAUAACAUUGGGUUGCCUCCCAACAAGCGCUUCUUUAAUGUCAAUAACUUGACAGUGAGCUCUCAUGGAGCCUCACAGAUAAUCAGAGCAAGGUUGGAACCUCCCAACACCAAACUUAGAGUUUGACUGUGGGGGCUUUGGUUGACUCUGCAGUGAGAGAAGCUUUUCAUGCUUCCUCUCCAUGGUUACAGAAGGAGAUCCUUGAGUUUUAAACACAAGGUUGUCCUUAUUCAGUUGAAGGACCAACUCUCCUCUGUCCACAUCAAUCACAGCUCUUACUGUGGCUAGGAAGGGUCUUCCAAGGAUGAUGGAUUCAUCAUCUUCCUUCCCAGUGUCUAGGAUUAUGAAAUCAGCAGGGAUGUAAAGGCCUCCAACCUUUACUAACACGUUCUCUACUUGUCCAUAAGCCUAUUUUCUUAAGUUGUCUGCCAUCUCUAAUGAGAUUUGGUGCACGAAAUUGUGAUCUCCAGGCUCGAACAAAUCCUGGUAAUGGCUCCAAAGCUUGGUGCUCUGAUCUUAAUUCAUAAUUGUCACAACUUCGAUACAACUAACCAGCAAGUGCACUGGGUCGUCCAAGUAAUACCUUACGUGAGUAAGGGUCGAAUCCCACGGAGAUUGUUGGUAUGAAGCAAGCUAUGGUCACCUUGCAAAUCUCAGUUAGGCAGAUAUAAAUGGAUAAUGGUGUUUUCGAAUUUAAUAUAAUAAAAUAGGGAUAGAGGUACUUAUGUAAAUCAUUGGUAGGAAUUUCAGAUAAGCGAAUAGAGAUGCUUUUCGUUCCUCUGAACCUCUGCUUUCCUGCUAUCUUCAUCCAAUCAGUCUUACUCCUUUCCAUGGCUGGCUGUAUGCAAGGGCAUCACCGUUGUCAGUGGCUACACCCCCUCCUCUCAGUGAAUAAUAUGCUCACGCACCCUGUCACAGCACGGCUAUUCAUCUGUCGGUUCUCCAUCAUGCUGGAAUAGGAUUCACCCUCCUUUUGNNNNNNNNNNNNNNNNNNNNNNNNNNNNNNNNNNNNNNNNNNNNNNNNNNNNNNNNNNNNNNNNNNNNNNNUUUUGAAAAAGAUUUGAUUUUUAAAAUCACAAUUAAUGACUUGAUUCAUAAGAAAUCACAAGAUAUGAUUCUAGAACUCAAAGUUUGAAUCUUUCUUAACAAGCAAGUAACAAACUUGAAAUUUUUGAAUCAAAACAUUAAUUGUUUAUUGUUAUUUUCGAAAAUUUGGUAUAAAAAUAAGAAAAAGAUUUUUGAAAAAUAUUUUUUGGAAUUUUCGAAAAUAACUAAGAAUUUUGAAAAAGAUUUGAUUUUUGAAAAAGAUUUUGAAAAAGAUAAGAUUUUCAAAUUGAAAAUUUGAUUUGACUCAUGAGAAACAACUUGAUUUUAAAAAUUUUUGAAAAAGUCAAUUCAAAUUUUCGAAUUUGAUGAGAGAAAAAGGGAAAGAUAUUUUUUUGAUUUUUGAAUUUUUUUUUUUGAAUUUUUAUGAAAACAUGAAAAAUAUGCAAUGCAUGAAAAUUUUAGAUCAAAACAAUGAAUGCAUGCAAGAAUGCUAUGAAUGUCAAGAUGAACACCAAGAACACUAUGAAUGUCAAGAUGAACAUCAUAGACAAAAUUUUGAAAAAUUUUUAAUGCAAAUAAAACAUGCAAGACACCUAACUUAGAAUUCUUUAAUGCCUAGACAUUAAGAAUUCAAGAAUGCAUAUGAAAAACACUAUACAACACAAAACAAAAAAUCAUCAAGAUCAAACAAGAAGACUUACCAAGAACAACUUGAAGAUCAUGAAGAACACUAUGAAUGCAUGAAAUUUUCGAAAAAUGCAAGAUGCAUAUGCAAGUGACACCAAACUUAUGAUAUGACUCAAGACUCAAACAAGAAACAGAAAAAUAUUUUUGAUUUUUAUGAUUUUCUAAUUUUUUUUGGAUUUUUUUCGAAAAUUAUAUGAAAAAGAAAAAUAAGGAUUCCAAAAUUUUUAAUAUGAAUUCCAGGAAUCUUGCAUUCUUAGUCUAAAGCUUCAGUCCAGGAAUUAGACAUGGCUCACUAGCCAGCCAAGCUUUCAAUGAAAGCUUCGGUCCAAAACACUAGACAUGGCCAAUGGCCAGCCAAGCUUCACCAUGUAAUUCAGACAUGACAUGCCUGACAUACCCUACAAUCGUAUAAGAGCUGAUGGUUGGAAGCCUCAGUCCAAAAGAAUUUAGACAUGGCUUUACAGCCAGCCAGGCUUCACAUGCUUCAUGAAACACUAGAAUUCAUUCUUUAAAAAUUUUGAAUCUAAUUUUUUUUUCGAAAACAUAAGAAAAAUUUUUGAAAUAUUUUUGAAAAAUUUUGAAAAUAAAAUAAAAAGAAAAGUACCUAAUCUGAGCAACAGGAUGAACCGUCAGUUGUCCAAACUCAAACAAUCCCCGGCAACGGCGCCAAAAACUUGGUGUUAUUGCCGGGAUUCAAACUUGGCACUGAUGUUACCGGACCAAAAGCUUGCCGAAAACUCAAACAAUCCCCGGCAACGGCGCCAAAAACUUGGUGCACGAAAUUGUGAUCUCCAGGCUCGAACAAAUCCUGGUAAUGGCUCCAAAGCUUGGUGCUCUGAUCUUAAUUCAUAAUUGUCACAACUUCGAUACAACUAACCAGCAAGUGCACUGGGUCGUCCAAGUAAUACCUUACGUGAGUAAGGGUCGAAUUUGGAGUUGAACGCCAGUUUCUGUGCCAGUUUGGGCGUUCAACUCUGGCUUUGGAUCCUUUUCUGGCGCUGGACGCCAGAUUUGGGCAGAAGGCUGGCGUUGAACGCUAGUUUACGUCGUCAAUUCUUGGCCAAAGUAUGGACUAUUAUAUAUUGCUGGAAAGCCCUGGAUGUCUACUUUCCAACGCAAUUGGAAGCGCGCCAUUUCGAGUUUUGUAGCUCCAGAAAAUCCGCUUUGAGUGCAGGGAGGUCAGAAUCCAACAGCAUCAGCAGUCCUUCUUCAACCUCUGAAUCUGAUUUCUGCUCAAGUCCCUCAAUUUCAGCCAGAAAAUACCUGAAAUCACAGAAAAACACACAAACUCAUAGUAAAGUCCAGAAAUGUGAAUUUAUCAUAAAAACUAAUGAAAACAUCCCUAAAAGUAGCUAGAUUCUACUAAAAACAUACUAAAAACAAUGUCAAAAAGCGUAUAAAUUAUCCGCUCAUCAAGAUUCUAGCAGCUUGCACCUCAAAGAUCCCUAGUUUCUCCAUUACAGAGAGUGGCAUUAAGUUUAUUCCUGACCCCAGGUCACACAGAGCCUUCUCAAAGGUCAUGGUGCCUAUGGUGCAGGGUAUUAAGAAUUUUCCUGGAUCCUGUUUCUUUUGAGGUAAUUUCUGCCUAUCCAAUGCAUUUAGUUCAUUGGUGAGCAAGGGAGGUUCAUCUUCCCAAGUCUCAUUACCAAAUAACUUGGCAUUCAGCUUCAUGAUUGCACCAAGGUAUUUAGCAACUUCCUCUUCAGUAAUGUCUUCAUCCUCUUCAGAGAAAGAAUACUCAUCAGAGCUCAUGAAAGGCAGAAGGAGGUUCAAUGGAAUCUCUAUGGUCUCUAGAUGAGUCUCAGAUUCUUUUGGUUCCUCAAAGGGAUACUCCUUAUUGGUCACUGGACGUCCCAGGAGGUCUUCCUCACUAGGAUUCACGUCCUCCUCUUCCCUUGUAGGUUCGGCCAUGAUGGUCAAUUCAAUGGCCUUACACUCUCUCUUUGGAUUCUCUUCUGUAUUGCUUGGGAGAGUACUUGGAGGGAUUUCAGUGACUCUUUUACUCAGCUGGCCCACUUGUGCCUCCAAAUUCUUAAUGGAGGACCUUGUUUCAUUCAUGAAACUCACAGUGGCCUUAGAUAGAUCAGAGACUAUAUUUGCUAAGCUAGAUGAAUUCUGCUCAGAAUUCUCUGUCUGUUGCUGAGUGGAUGAUGGAAAAGGCUUGCUAUUGCUAAACCUGUUUCUUUCACCAUUAUUAAAGCCUUGUUGAGGCUUUUGUUGAUCCUUCCAUGAGAAAUUUGGAUGAUUUCUCCAUGAGGGAUAAUAGGUGUUUCCAUAGGGUUCACCCAUGUAAUUCACCUCUGCUAUUGCAGGGUUUUCAGGAUCAUAAGCUUCUUCUUCAGAAGGUUGUGCUUUAGCUUCCCUUAGCUUCCUCUUCAGAGUCCUUUCAGGUUCAAGAUCAACCUCAAUAAGAAUGUUCUUAUCCUUGCUCCUGCUCAUAUGAAAAAGAAGAAAACAGAAAAAAAAAUAUAGAAUCCUCUAUGUCACAGUAUAGAGAUUCCUUUAUGUGAGUAGAAGAAUAUAUGAAUAGAAGAAGGAGAAUUCAAACACAAGGGUGAGGAGUAGGUUCGAAUUCUUGGGUGAAAAAGGAAUGUUAGUAGAUGAAUAAAUAAAUAGAAGAAUUUUCGAAAAUUAGAUAAAAUAAAAUAAAAGUAUUUUUGUUUUUAAAUUAAAAAUUAAAAUUAAAAAUUCAAAACUUAAUCAAGGAAAAUUAAAUCAAAUUAAUUAAAUUUAAAACAAUUAGUUAAUUUAAAAAGGAAUUUUGAAGAAGAGGGAAGGGAUUUUCAAAAAUUAGAGAGAGAGAGAGAGUUAGUUAGGUAGUUUUGAAAAGAUAUGAUUGAAAUAAUAAACUUUUAAAAUCGAACAAAAAGUCAAGUAGUUAAUUAAAAAAGAUUUGAAAAUCAAUUUUUGAAAAGAUAAGAAGUUAGAAAAGAAGUUGGAAAAGAUUUUGAAAUUGAUUUUGAAAAAGAUGUGAUUGACAUUUAUUUUGAAAAAGAUUUGAAAAAGAAAUUUAAAAAGAUUUGAUUUUUGAAAUCAAAGUUGAUUACUUGACUAACAAGAAACUUGAAGAUAUGAUUUUAAAAUUUAAAAAUUGAACCUUUCUUAAUAGGCAAGUAACAAACUUAAAAAUUUUGAAUCAAUCACAUUAAAUGUUAACAUUGAAUUCGAAAAAGAUAAGAAAAAGAUUUUGAAAAUCAAUUUGAAAUUUUCGAAAAUAUGAAAGAAAAAAUGAAAAAGAUUUGAGUUUUGAAAAAGAAUUGAAAAAGAUAAAAUUUUUAAAUUGAAAAUUUGAUUUGACUCAUAAGAAACAACUAAAUUUUAAAAAAUUUUGAAAAAGUCAACUCAAAUUUUCGAAAAUUUAUGAGUGAAAAAGGGAAAGAUAUUUUUUUAAUUUUUAAACUUUUAAUGAUGAGAGAGAAAAAUACCAAAAAGACUCAACGCAUGAAAAUUGUGGAUCAAAACAAAUGAUGCAUGCAAGAACACUAUGAAUGUCAAGAUGAACACCAAGAACACUUUGAAGAUCAAGAUGAACAUCAAGACUUAUUUUUGAAAAUUUUUUAGAAAAGAAAAACAUGCAAGACACCAAACUUAGAGAUUUUUCAUGUUUAGAUACUAUGAAUGCAAAAAUGCAUAUGAAAAACAACAAAAGACACAUAACAAGAAAAUAUGAAGAUCAAACAAGAAGACUUGUCAAGAACAACUUGAAGAUCAUGAAGAACACAUGCAUGAGUUUUCGAAAAAUGCACAAAUUUUAAAAAUAUGCAAUUGACACCAAACUUAAAAACUGACACAAGAUUCAAGCAAGAAACACAAAAAUUAUUUUUGAUUUUAUGAUUUUAUAAUAUUUUUUUUUUUGGAUUUUUCGAAAAUUAUUUUGGAAAAACGAAAAAAGAAUAAAUUUUUUUAUAUUAUUUUCGAAAAUAAGAAAUAAAAAGCUUAAAAAUAAAAUAAAAUUACCUAAUCUGAGCAACAAGAUGAACCGUCAGUUGUCCAAACUCGAACAAUCCCCAGCAACAGCGCCAAAAACUUGGUGCGCAGAAAUCGUGACGGUUCCAUUCCUUGGUAACGGCGCUAAAAACUCAAUACGCACGUUCAUAAUCUUAGUUCUUUGUCACAACUUCGCACAACUAACCAACAAGUGCACUAGGUCGUCCAAGUAAUAAACCUUACGUGAGUAAGGGUCAAUCCCACGGAGAUUGUCGGCUUGAAGCAAGCUAUGGUAUAGGAUCCAUUGAUCCUUUUGCGUCUGUCACUAUGCCCAGCACUCGCGAGUUUGAAGCUCGUCGCAGCCAUCCCUUCUCAGAUCCUACUCGGAAUACCACAGACAAGAUUUAGACUUUCCGGAUCUCAAGAAUGGUCGUCCAUGGAUUCUAACUUAUACCACAAAGAUUCUGAUUAAGGAAUCCCAGAGAUACUCAUUCAAUCUAAGGUAGAACGGAAGUGGUUGUCAGGCACGCGUUCAUCGGUUGGGAAUGAUGAUGACUGUCACGAUCAUCCAUUCAUAUUGAAAUGCGAAUGAAUAUCUUAGAAUCAGAAUAAGCUUGAAUUGAAUAGAAAAACGAUAGUACUUUGUAUUAAUUCAUGAGGAUCAGCAGAGCUUCACACCUUAAUCUAUGGUGUGUAGAAACUCUACCGUUGAAAAUACAUAAGUGAUGAAGGUUCAGGCAUGGCCGAAUGGCCAGCCCCCAAACGUGAUCUAAAGAUGAAACUAAAGAUGUAAAUACAAUAGUAAAAAGUCCUAUUUAUGCUAAACUAGUUACUAGGGUUUAUAGAAAUGAGUAAAUGAUGUAGAAAUCCACUUCCGGGGCCCACUUGGUGUGUGCUUGGGCUGAGCAUUGAGCUUUACACAUAUAGAGGCUUCUCUUGGAGUUGAACGCCAGUUUGUAACCUGUUUCUGGUGUUUAACUCCACUUUGCAACCUGUUUCUGGCGUUUAACUCCAGAAUGCAGCAUAGAACUGGCGUUGAACGCCAGUUUGCAUCAUCUAAACUCGGGAAACGUAUGGACUAUUAUAUAUUUUUGGAAAGCCCUGGAUGUAUACUUUCCAACGCAAUUGAGAGCGCACCAUUUGGAGUUCUGUAGCUCCAGAAAAUCCACUUUGAGUGCAGGGAGGUCAGAAUCCAACAGCAUCUGCAGUCCUUCUUCAACCUCUGAAUUUGAUUUUUGCUCAAGUCCCUCAAUUUCAGCCAGAAAAUACUUGAAAUCACAUAAAAACACACAAACUCAUAGUAAAGUCCAGAAAUGUGAUUUUUAUUUAAAAACUAAUAAAAAUAUACUAAAAACUAACUAAAUUAUACUGAAAACUAUGUAAAAACAAUCCCAAAAAGCAUAUAAAUUAUCCACUCAUCAAACACCCGUUGUGGGUCAAAUGAACUUGGAUAUUAGCUAUUACAGUUUUUUUGUUAGUAAUGCAAUGCUAUGUUAUGUAUUACUUAACCAACUUUAAUUUCGUAAACACCUUGCAAAACACGUACAGGGCAAUGCAAUCAUUCAUAUAAAUGAACUGUGAAUUUUUUUUUUUUGGUGCAACAAUACAACACACUUUUUCAUUCCUUUAUCAAUUCUUACAACUUAGAACAGCAAAACUCAACACAAUGACAAUAACACAAAUACACCAUCUUAUUGAGUUUUUUUUCAUCUCUAGAGCUACUAUCCUCUUCUCCAAGCAUGUGAUCUUCAUUUCCAUGUCUUGCUUCCCGUGAUAAUCUUCAACAUCCACAAAUUCCUUCUUUCUCAUAUACUUUGUUUCUAUCAAUCCAAGUCCAACAUCGUGCUCAUCAAGCCACAAAAAAAAAUUUGCAAUACGGUUGUCUUGCCUGCAGCAAAUCAAUCCACAUAAUUCAAAAACAAAAAACUGGUAACCCUAACACAUCUUCAAGCACACCUUCCACACAGUCGGUUACCAUACCUUGUAAAAGGGACAGCCCAGAAACAAUCUGUCCAGAUUGCUUCGCGUCUUCGACAUGAAAAGGAUUGCGUUUUCUCCACAAAAGCACGUUGGUGAGAUGCCAUCUUUGCCAUCCUUCCCGUUAGGAUGCGAGCUCGAGCCGAACUAACCUCCACUUCUUUUCCAACUUGAUAAUACUCCUUCAGAUGCCAUGGAAGGAAGAAUUUCCUUUAUUCCUCUACUCCCCACAACACCCACUUCGCCGUUUCUGUGCAGACGAGGGAUUAGGGCAAAGAAAUUUGAAAAAUUGGGGGAGGUAACGAAACGGCGUCGUUUUCGUCUCCAGGGACUUAUAUGUCCUGUUUUGAAAAGCUCCUUGCCACGUGGGCUCCAUAAUGGCCAGGUCAGCGCCACCUCUGCCAGGUCAGAAUUUUCCGUCCAGUCCAAAUGCCUGAAUUCAACGGAAGGGUCGAAAUGUCCACGUUUUUCGGGGGUGAGAGACUUGAAUGUAUUUUUCCUUCCUUGAGGACAAUAAUGUCCACAAAAAAAGGUCAGGAACCUAUUUGUUCUUUAAUCUUUAAAAUAAUAUCCACCAAUUAAAAGAUAACAAGCUUUCUGCAUCUGACCCAAAAAAAUCAAAUAAUAACCCUUAAUGGACCUUAAUAUACCUUCAGCAAAAAUUAUCAUUGAGUUUUGAUCUGUUAAUAAAAAAUUUGUACUGACUUCAGACUGGUAAAAUUGGGCUUGCCAUUGGCCCACUACAGACCACAAGGGUCUCCAAUGCAUAGCCUCAUUUGUCACCUCUCUCAGAAUUGUAUCUCUUCUCCCCUUUUUCCGGAAAUAGAUAUUUUCAAUUUUUUUUAAUACUUGAGGGAAUAAAGUGUGAUCUCUCACCAUUAAUUUUAUAAGUGGGACUAAAAAUAAAUAUGAGAGAGAGCAAUAAAGGGUUAGAUUAAACAAUUCACGCCAUCCACUUUUUCUCCACUGGAGAGGAUCUGCUCCCCCUUUUCCUCGUGCUCUGCUUCCUUCAUCCACCUUGUUCUAAAUCCAUACUCGUGGUUCCAUGAAAAAAUCGCCACCGCAACUCCAUCCCCCACACAGCUGGCCGUCGCAAGCUCACAUGGGGAACCGGUACUACCUUUCCACUCCCGUCUCUUCGCUGUUCGUUGUUCGCUAUUCACAUGGAGGAAACGGCACUGCUUUCCAGCUCCCUUUGCCACUGCCUGCCGUUGCAGUUGUGUCCUCUGUUUCAGUUCCAAGGGAAGACAGCUGUUAUGAGUGGUGGUGGCUUGGCCACUAACAAAGAGAUGCAACAGACCCAAACUCCACCGGUCACCGCUGUUGUUCUGCCCUCUGUCUUCAUUGACGCUGUUUUCCCCUCCACCGUCGUGAGUUUUCGCUCGUCCAUCGCGGAAGCACCGACCUCGGCGCUGCUCCUAACUUUGUUGUCUUCGCAGAAUCGCCACAGAUCGCGGCCGUACUCAUCAUCUGUGGCGGUCGUCCGCGGGUUCGGCGCCGCCCUUGGAAGAAAUCGCCAAUUGUCCUCGGCCAUAACCGUUUCCUCCAAAUGCACCAAAUGUAGAUCUAGGUGUUCUUCUCCUGUGUGUUCUGGAAUGAGAGGUAAUUUUGAUUGCAGUUCUGGAAUUGAAUUCUAGAAUCUUGCUUGAACUGAAAUUGCUGUUGAUUCUACAGGUUGAAAUUCAAAAUUGAAAGCUAAUUCUUCUUCUUCGGUCAAAUCUGUUGCUUCUUCUUCAUUUUCUUCAAAAAUAAACAAGGAAGAAUGAAUUAUUGCUCGAUUUGCCAGCUCUGUUGAUUUUAUUUUUUGUUGAGGUUGAAUUGUAAAAUUGAAAUCUGUUGCUUCCUGUUCUGUGUAUGCAGAAGUCAUUGCUAAGUCCAAAAGUUUUGGUGCUGCAUUCUUGACUUGUGCAUCUGAUAUUUGUUGAAUUUUCUAUCUCUGAAAUUUCUGCUUCUAGAUUUUGGUUGAAUUGUCUACUUCUAGUUUAUCUAGAAUUGUUAGAUCCAGUGUGUCUAUUGAUGAUUUUGUUGCUGCAUUCUCUAAUUCUUUAUUCUCAUAAAUCGAGUAUGAAUUUUGGAAUUGCAGAACUGGAAUUGAUGAAUUUGCUAUUUCUGAAUUUGUUGAAAUAUUGAUGAUUGGGUGAGAAUCUGAUGCUGAUUUGGCUUGAAUCUAUUGAUUAGCGUUCAAGGUCGCACAAAUUUUGGUGCAAGUUGUUUGAAUUUCUUCAAGUAUCUUGGUACGUUCUUGAUAAUAUGAAUUUAAGCUUUGUAAAUUAGUUUGAAUUUAUCUCAAAUGGAAUCCGCAGAAUUACUAUGAGAGUUUAGUAUGGUGAGAAGAGAGAAUUAGAGAUAAUAAAAAAGAAUAGAAGAAAAAUCUUUAGAAGUAGGACAAAAGAAAAAAAAUAGAAUUUUUAAUUAUAUCAUACAUAUUUCACAUUAUUACAUCAUACUCUUAUUUAUAGUAUAAUUUUCAUUCUCUAGUUGGAUUAGCUCAAUACUAAUCCUAUCAAGAGCACACAACAAAAAUAGGUUGGGAAGCAACCAGUAAGUAAAAAGAGAGAGAAGAGGUUAAUUGAUAAAAAACAAAAACAAACAGAAAAAACAUUUUUUUUUAAAUUAAAAUUAUUUUUAAGGUUAAUUGAUUUUUUUUGAAAUAAUUUGAUGAUUUAAAUUUUAUUUUAGUCGUUACUGAGCUAUUAUGUAUGCUUGUUUCGUUAAUAAUAAACAUCAUCACUGUAUGAAUGUGGUGAUAGCUAGGUAAGGUUAUAUGAGCACCUUCGGUGUGCUCUUAUGGCUUUACCUGUGUUUUGCUACUGCAAAGUUUUAACCACCAUGAAAUAAAAGAUCUUCAAGUAUAUUAUGUUUUAAUUUCUUUGAAAUUAAUGAAAAUCAAACACUUC